rnacentral:lncRNA from 1 species
UUUUUUGUUGUACAGCUUCCAGAUUAUGGAAACCACAAGAGUCUUUCUGGAGGGCUUCAAGAAUAUCUCUAGAAAUCCUCAUUGGGUCAAAAGGAUCAGACACGCAGACCCACAUCCUUUCAUGGAAAUAGGUCGUCACCUUUUCGUGGUUGUAUGCUAAUUGAGCAAGAGUUGUUUUGCCGAUCCCUCCCAUCCCAACUAUGGAGAUGAUGUAGAGGGAGGAGCUUUCUUGGCAACUCCCACCCAACAGCUUGCCUAUUAUAAUGUUUAUAUCUGCAUCCCGACCGCAGAACUGGCUAACAUCAAUUACAGAACUGGUUAUACGUCUAUGUGGUUGCUGGAUGGUACUACUUGACACAAAAUUGAACUGAUUUUGCUCAUUUGCAAUGGCAUCUAGUUGUUUUCUUAUGUCCUUAAUCUUAAUACCAAUAUCACAGCACAAAAGAACUUGUUUGAAGCAAACACAAGGGGAGGGAAGGCAGGAACUUAUCUUGGGCUUAGGGAUGCAAGGGUUUUCAGCCCCAAUCUGUAAUUUGAGAAGAGCAGUGUUCCACCCAUCCACCACGUCAUCCAUCUGGUAGGAGAUGUCCUUGAGCCUUUCUAACCAAACUUUUACCAGUUCUUCUGUGAACUGUCUCUUCUCUGCAUCUCCAAGAACAGCUCUGAUGCUCUGGAGUGUGCUUUUUAGGUUGUCCACCUCGCUUUCGACACCCACCACCAGCGUAACUUGUUGACGAAUCUGUUGUUCCAAGACUGAAGCCAAUCGCUCCAGCACGAUAGAAACAAGAGCAUCCGCCAUAAGGGUUGAUGAAUAAGGAGGGGUUGAUGAAUCAAAGAAAAUGGACAGAUACAACUAAGAUCAAUGGAGAGAAAGGAUGUGGAGCUUUGGCGAGCUUAAUUAUGUUCCCUUUAAUAGAAUGGAAGAGAGGUAUAAAUGGAUUACUUAAAAAUGGCAUUUCUAUAUGACAAGAUAUGCUGAUCUUCUUCAUCACUUCUUCCCUUUCUUUUCCUUCUCAAGAGAAACCUCCAAAUGCAAUGCCCAAAUCUGCAUGGAAAAGCAUUUCUUGCCUCUUUGGAAUGGCAUUGCCUGUUACACAAGUUUUGGACAAAGGCAAAGCAUCUUACUGUAUAGAUUUUAUAUUCCAAUCUUGCACCGCACUUUGUCCAAAACAUUUCUCAACUUUAAUUCAGGUACAAAUCUACUUUCAAUUCUAUUCUAGAAAAGCUAAGCCGAUUUCUAGUGUUUAUAUAUAUAUAUAUAUAUAUAUUCUUACAAAUAAUAAGUCUCUUAGAAAAUUUUAAAUAUCACUAUAAAGAAUUUAUAAGAAUAUAUUUGGUCACAACCACAAAAACUAUUAUAAAAAAUAUAAUUAAAAUUUUUUUACCCUAAUAUUGUUAUUAUUUAAUGAUUUAUACUCAGUCUAACAUUAUAUUUUUAAUAAUUAUCAAUGUUUUAAAAAUCAAAUCACACCAAUCAAUCAAAUUGUUGGCUAAAUCUCAAUCCUGUUCAGUUCAACUAAUUGGACCACAAUGGGGUCAAAAUGGCAUUGAACCGAAGUCAAACUGACAGUACAAUCGCUAAAUUGGUGAGUUGGCUUAGCGGUUCAGUUUAACCUAUUGUUAUGUUUGUCCAACUCAUUGGGAUCUUAUUUUUUAUCCCUAAUCCAUAAGCCCAUCAAAUAGAUGGACCAUAGGAGAAACUCUUCCCAAUUCGUUAAGCAAGUUGACUCAUGUUUGAUUGAAUUGGUAUAUUUACAGGGUGAUAAAGGUGGGUGGAGUCACUCGAUGUGGGAUCAAGGAGCCCUUUUUUAAAGAGCUAUAAAAGGGAAUGCACAGAGCCUAGUUGGAAUGUUACAACUUUGUAUGAAAAAAACAUUAAAAUAUUCCAAAACUUAAAAAUAAAUAUAAAAAAUUAUGAUUUAUCUAAUAGUAUAUGAUAAUAAAUAUCAAAAUAAUAUAGAUAAAACAACUAAUAAUUUUGAAAAUAAUAAAAUAUAUAGCUAUUAAAAUCUAAACAACUUUAAAUAAUAAAUCUUAUUUAUAAGAAUAAUUAUAACUUAAAUAUAACUGUUCACUAUUAAGAAUAUAUUUGGUUUCAAUAACAAAAACAUUAUUGGAAAAAGCAAGAUUAAAAAUUACCUUAAAAUAUGGUUAAUAACGUGCAUCUCUUUUAAAGUGGUUUUAAAACAAUUAAAUAAAAUUUACUGCGUCAUCCUUUAGCAUGUUUUGCACUUUACCCUUUUAUAUUCAAAACCAAAUACUUUGCCUUUCAACUUGUUAAGGAACAAUGCUUUGCAUAAGGAAUUGCUUUUUUUGCACUUAACCAAAUACUUUGUCUUUCAACUUGUUAAAGACCGACGCUUUGCAUAAGGAAUUGCUUUUUUUUGCCCUUUUGAACAUUGGUUCAAAUUUAGGUACCAUCAACUUGAAAUUAACAAAUUUGAAGUGGAAUUUCUUAGACACUUUCAAAAUAUGAUGUUUAUAGUUUUUAUUUUUUAUUUUAGAGAGAUGUUCAUAUAACUAUAUAUAUAAAAUAUAAGAUUUUGAAUGUGAGAGGGCAGAAUGUAAAAUAUGUCAAAGAUUGAAUGGGUAAAGUAUAUUUAACCUAGUUUAAAAUAAUGUUUCUUAGAAACAAGAUAUUUGUAGAAAAUACCAAGUGGCUAGUAUUCUUUUUCAUGUUGUUAAAAAUGUUAGUGAUUUGAUAAUUAAUAAUGACAAAGAAAAUAAUACACAUAUUAAAUUUUUUUAUUUUUUAUUUUUGCAUUUUCCUUUGUUUUGUUUUUUUAAAUGAAAAUUAAAAAAAAAAUCAUUUUCCUUUCCACACCAUCCAAGCUCAUCAUAUUAAUUAACAAGUUCAUCUAUAUCUUGUUAUUUCCUACUUUCUAAGAAAAAAAAAACAAAAACAAAAGAAGGAAAAUAUUUUUGACAACUUAAAAAAUGGAAAAUAAUAUAUUUUUAGAAAACAUAUUUUAAUUAUUUUCACUUUUUUUAAGUCAUUUUAAAAAAUAACAAGACAAAUAUGAAGAAUAAUUAAAAUAAAAUAUUAUAUAUGAAAUUUAUUUUUAAAAAUUAUUUUAAAUACAAAAAAUAAAUUGAAUAUAUUCUAAUUUUUUAAACAAAAUUUUAUUCAAGAAAGGAACUAUUUUUGGGAACUGUCUACAAAAACUAAUUUUUAAUAAUAGCUUUUGGAAACGUUCCUAACUAUAGACCCUAAGGUUCCAUUUGGUUUGGAUUUUUUUAUUCCAUUUUUUUUAGAAUAAUUUUUUAUUAUUUUUGUUCCUAAAAAAUGUAUUUGAUUAAUAAAGUUAAAACCAUUUUAAAAAAUAAAAUCUAAAAAAUAUUAUUUGAUUUUAAAUGAAAUAUAAUUAAAAUUUUAUAUUAUAUGCAUGUCAUGUGAUAAAUAAAAAAACAUGCUUAUACAGUAGUGAUAAGAUAAUAUCUGAUUUCACAUUUAUAUAAUAUAUCAUGUUUUAUUCAUUUGAAUAUUUUUUAUAUUUGUAAUAUUUAUACUUCUUUAUACCAUGCAUAUCAUAUAGGAAUGGCAACGGGACGGGUUUGGGACGGGUCACCCCUAUCCCAUUCCCAUCCCAAAAUAUAUGGUUAUUUCCCAUCCUGUCCCAAACCCGGUGCGGGGCGAGGUAUGCACUCUCAUUCCCGUUUUGAAGUUAUGAUUAAAAUCCCAUUUCGGGCCCGUCCCGACCCGAGUAUGUGUAUGCACCUUGUGUUGCCCAAAGAGAGGGGAAAACAAUGAGUUACAGCCUUACAAGCAGUUCAAGCACCUUAUGUAUGCAUGUAUUUCUUGACUAUUACAAAUCUGGUGGACGUUUGGACUCUCCAAAUUUUUUUAUUAAGCUGCAAUUACAAUGAUCCCAAUAAGAAGGACAAUUCCAAAUAUCACUAACAAAUCUCUCAUCUUUUGCCCAAAAACUGACAAAGAAACACCCAAAACCAAACAAAUCAACAUUAAAAAAAAAAUACCUAAAACGAUUCCUAUGGAGAAAAUGGCAGUAGUGUAAACUGAUGAGACUACUAGUAGUUGUGAAUAUGAGAUAAACAAGGACAAAUCUAAGAGUAGAUGGAGAAAAUGAGAUUAUUGAAUGGAUUUUUGGAUGGAUUAUCUUAUGGAUUUCUGCAUUGAGUGGGGGGAACAACAACCCUAGUGAUAGAGAGGAACAAGAACCCUAAAAUGAGAGAGGAAAAGCAGAAAGGAUCAAAGAAAGCAAAUAUUUAUAAAUAGGGGUAAACUUAUAUUUUCAUAUUCAGGGCAAGGCAGGGCAUAUUAUUACUAAACCCAAUCCCACCCCAAACCCAAUUCGGGUUUUAAAAAAAAAAACUUGAACCUGUCCCAUACCCGUUCUAAUAGGGAUGGGUCAGGGCGGGUGACCCGAAAAACCCGUGAAAUUGUCAUUCCUAAUAUCAUAAGGUUAUUUACAUAAUUUAUUUCCUUCUUUGUUUUUAUUAUUAUUAUUAUUAUUAUUAUUAUUAUUAUUAUAUUACAAUUCAUUCAUUUAUUAUUAUUAUUAUUAUAUUGCAAUUCAUUUAUUAUGUUAAAAUCACAUAAUAAAAUAUUCAAAUAUGCUCAUAAUUAAUCCACUAAAAUGAAUAUGUUUCUAAUAUGAAAAUGUAUCUUCCUAUAGUUUAAUAAAUAGAACAAAAUAUUUAUACGCUAUUCUAAGAGGAUAUUUGCUUUCAAUUAAUGUAUAUGGGAUUAUAUAUUAUUCAUUUCAUAUUUUUUUAUAUUUAUAAUAUUUAUAUUUUGUUAGUAUUAUUUGUCUUAGGAAACAAAGUAUAAAUAAAUAACAAGCCCACAUCAUAUCAAGAGAAGAGCCCCUAUGGCAUGUGUCAUAAUUAUUAAGGAUUAAAUCUUAAGUUUAGAAUCUUAAAAUCAAAUAAAUUAUUUAUUUGAAUAUUAAAAUUGAAAGAUUCCUUUUAUUAUCCAAAAUUCUAUUUUAAGCAGAGAAAAUCUCUUAGGAAUGAGGUAGGAGGGAGUAAGAGAGAGAGAACUUUGCAAGAUUCCACAAAUGUGUUCCUAGAAAUUUUCAAAUUUUCCUUAAACUCAAAUACCUUCUUAAACUUAAAAGAAUGAUUUCAAAGGGAAAGAAUAAAGACCAAUAUUCCUAAUUGGUCCUUAGCUAAAUCAACCAGAAGUAUGUGAUUGUCAUCCUCGAAUCAAUAUUAACUUAAAAGAUCAAUGUGUUCUAGAAAUCCUCAAAUUUUCCUUAAGUUCAAGUACCUUAUUAAACUUAAACAAUGUUCUCAAAGCAAAUGAGUCAAGAUAAAGCCUAAGUGGCCCUUAGCUAAAUCAAUCAAUAGUAUGUAAUUCUCAUCCUUGAAUCAGAUUUGAUUAAAGAUCGAUCAAUCGAUUAUAACUUAGAAGAGUAAUCAAUUAUAACUCAAAAGAUCUAUAUAUAUAUAUAUAUAUAUAUAUAUAUAUUGAUGUGAGUAUAUAUGUGUAUGUAUAUAUAUAUAUAUAUAUAUAUUUGUGUGUGUGUGUGUGUGUACACUCACAUUUUUAUUAAUAUAAUUUUUUCUAUCAUUUUCAACAAAGGAUUGUAAUCACAUUUUCAUUAAUAUAAUAGUUUAAAGAAGAUGACAAAGGAUUGUAGUCACAUCUACUCAUAUCUUUAUUAAUAUAAUUUUCUUUGUUAUUGUCGACAAAGGAAUGUACUCACAUCUUUAUUAGUAUAAAUUUCUAUACUAUUUUCUCAUUUUUUGGCUUCAUAGAAUAAAAAAUUUGUACAUGCAAGUUUCUAGUACACCCAUGGGAUUGUGUCUCAUCUCUUUUAACUGAAAUUCCUCUUUCCAUCCUAAGUUGAGAUAAUGUGUUAAAAAAAAAAACCAAGUCAUACACAUACUUUUCAUCCAAAGUCAAGUUAAUGCUUUCAAGAAAAAACCUAGUCAUACACAUACAAAGGGAAUGGUAACAAUGGCAUCACCUCAUGACUAAAGAAUACUGUUAAUAGUCUAAUGACAUGUAGCAAGGCAAAGACAAUAACAAUUACUUUAACUUUAAACCAACAUAUGUUGAUGCACUCUCAUUCAUCAUUACCAUUCAAGACUCUCCAAUUUUAAAGUUGAAGUAUUUUUUAUAUAAGGAAAUUAAUCCAGAUUAGUCAUUGAAACCUCUAAUCCUUGAACCAAAAAAGAAAAUAAAAAAGAACUAACAAUUGUAUGAUAGUUAAGUCAUCUCCACAUGAAACUUUAGAUUAGCGGCAAUUGAGGUAGUAAAUUUUAGGGUGUGAAUGUUGGUUAGAAGCUCAAAAAAGUGAUUUUAUACACAAAAGAGGUAGAGAGAAUUUAAAGAACAUAAAAUUGAAGGAAAACAAACUUUAGGAGUUGAGAUUCACUAGGAUCACCACUCUUAGGUACAGCUUACGAACAAGGCCUUGAACCUAUGCUUUUGGCUUUAGGAUCAAGCCAACGGUUUAUACCGAAAAAUGUUCCUACUUGAAAUGAACGAGAACCACCCUAAUAAGGUUCAACUCCUUUUGAUUGCUCUCUUUUGGAUCCUUGCAACCAAAUAAUUUACAUGAGUUCCUUUUCACGUCAACAAGCUUGUGCAUAAUUCAAAGAAUUUAAAAUAGUAGUUAGGCAUGCUUCCAGGGUUACUUGAUUUAUGGCCCUCACAACCAAUGUUGUAUACACCUUUCUUCGCAUGGUUACUCUUUUUGGUCAUCAUAAUCAUUAACAGAGAUCAAAUUCUUUGGAGCCAUGUGCAAAUAAACUAUUAAAUUGAGAUAUGGGAAACCUCAGCUCAUCUUACCCCUUGAAAUGUUAAAGAUUACCUAAACAUAUUUGAGAACUAAGAGAAAAACCAAAAACAUAAAUUUGCAAGAUGAAACUAAAAACUAAAAAAAUAAGAUUAAUUGAAAAGACUGGAAAAUUCAUUAACUUGGAAAUCAAAGAAAGGUUACAAAGAAAAGAAACGAUUACAACUAAGAACUAAAACUAAUGUUAAGUUACUCCCACUCCUACGAGAAAGAAAGACUAUCUAACUUUUUAUCUCUAUCAUCUACUUCUAUUUGUAUAUUCAUAGUCCUUCUUUUAAUCUCAAUCUCCCCACAUUCCAACUACUCCCAUGCCAACUUGUCUAGAUUUGCCCUUUGCCCUUUGCCCAUGUUGUGGAUUUAGUCUUAUGUUAGUGCAGUUAAUCAAUCAUCAUUCUUGAUGUGUUAGCUUGAAGUUGGUGGUUGCACCUCUUUUUCUAUGUAAUCAACAUGGGGUAUGUUUUGGUAGUACAACUGAAGAUUUUGAGGCAUGAAUGAUUGUGCUACUUUGGUAGGUGUGUCAAUCAUUAGAAAAAUUGAGUGUGUAGCUCUUACAAAGUAAGGAACAGUAUGCAGGUUUCAAUGACAUCCAGGGGUGCACUUUAUUAUUAGCGAAUGAACUGCACAUUUCAAGUCUUUAGGAGGUGCAUUGCUUUGGCAUUUUGCUAGCUUAGGUGAAAGGUGCACAACUUCUUAGUUUAGCACAAUUAAGAAGUGUGCAAUUUGUGUUGCCUAAAGGGGAUGAGCAAUUUGGUCCAACACACAUGAAAGGUGGACAAAAGAGACUUUAAGCAUUAGUCUUCAGGGUGCAUACAAGAGGUGCGUUGUGUGGCUCUACACUGAAAAAGGAAUGCAAAAUUAAGUCUUACGCACCUUAAAGUACACAAUCUACGUUUGGUUUCUACAUGUGCACUUUUCUCCCUAAGAGUUCCCAAAAAAGCUCUACUACAUAAAAAAAAAUCUUAAAGCUCAUAGAAUACUCACAAAAUGCAUGAAACACAACUUUUUAAGGUACUAACAACAAGACCAAGCAUUAUGUGAAUUCUAAGUACCCCGGACAUGCUAAAAUAAACUCUUUAAAGCCAUCAAAGCAGUGAGUUUGAGUUCUCAUCAAUUACUUACAAAGAAUCAUGAUACACAUUGGUCAAUCAUCACUCUAGUCUCCUUAGGGGGAAUGACACAAGUGUCAAAUUCCUAGAAAAAAUCCACUCAAGCCUUAGAUCUCUCCAAAUGAUGUAUGCAUCUAUAAAUCCUAAGCACAGUAGAAACUAAUAUGUCUCUUAAAACUUAUUCUAAGGUGAGAAAUAACUAGAAAUCACACCUCAGAUUUAGAUGUUUCCAAAUCCAUUUCCAAUCUAUGAAAAAUAAUCUCAAAGGCCUAGAGCCACCUAAUAGCUCUUCCUUUGAUCAUGACAAUAAAGAAGGGAGGACUUCUCUCUAAAAAGAUAAAGGAUAGGUUUUUUCUCUCUCUCUAGAAGACAUCAAUGAAUUAGAGUCUUUAAACCUAAACUCUAAAAGGGUUUAUGUAGACCUUCUUAUAGGCUUACAUGACUUAAGUCAGAUUAACUCUAACUCCAAGGAGCAUAUGUUAAAUUUCCACUAAAGAAAAUGUUAUGGCCAUAAUAUUUUAAAUCACAUGUCUUUUGGAUCACGCAAAGGGACAUAUUAUCUCAAUCCAUGAGAUAUCAUGGUGCCUCUAUUGAGAAUACUUAUUGUCACCGGCCUUCAUCAAUAGUGACCCAAUCCACAACGAUAUGACUACUUUAAGGUCUCAUCCAUAGGUCAAAGUCUCCUGUUAACUUUGGCACAGGCUCAAUAUCCUCUCAAGGUUGAGAGUUCAUGCAUUAUAGUAGCUUAAUGAAUCAUAACAAUUGAUAGUCUUAGGUCAUGAUUCACGUAGGUCUUGUCUAGUGUGACACAAUGGCCUAGACAAAUCAUGAUCCCUCCAAUUAGGAGGAAAUGCACUACAAUCUCAAAUGGAUUGCUCAAAUCCAUAAACAAACUAUGGACAACUCAUCAUUCUACAAGGAACUCAUGACUUGGGUCUUCUAUGUAAUUCGUAAUGCACCCAAGUCAUGUACAAUGCAGGUGAUGUGGGGCAUGUAUGCUCAAAGAGUCCAAUCAAUGCAUAAUGAGAUAAUAAAAGAAAAAACUAGAAACAUGAAUAAAUAAAUUUAUAAAUGAAUUUUUAUCUAUUACAUCACAUCAUGCUUUCUAAGGCUCAAUACCAAUAGUUAUAACCACUCGAUAGCCUUACAUCAUGACUUAACAUAGGUUAUGUCAAAUGUGUAAUAGUACACACUAGUGCACUCACCAUGGGAGCCUCAUCCCGAUGAUCAAAACAAUUUAUCCCUCAAAUUAGGAGAUAGUGCAUUAUCAUCUCUAUCAGAUUGACUAAACUCAUGAACCGACUAUGAACUAUUUUUCAUCUUGCAAGGAACCCAUGACUUAUAUCAUCCAUGCAACUCUUGAUGCAUCAAAGUCAUGUACAAGAUAAAUGAUAUGAGUAUGAAUGCUCAAAUCAAUAUCAAUGCAUACAAUAAAUAGAUAAAGUGGAAGCUCAAGUCUAACUUUCUUAUAUCAUGUCUUACUUUUAAAGGCUUUAUCCCAACAUAUAUGACAAGUCAGGUCUAGUGUCGGUUAGAUAGAUCAAUUUUCCCACUAGUCUCUGUUAUCUCUCUUUGUUAAUUGGAAUUUGAUGAGAAUAGAUGGACAUAUCAUGAUUUAUCUCAAUGGAAAUAUCUACAGGUUUGUAAUUGAAGUUACCAGUUUCAACCAAGAGAUCUGAUGUAUGCUUUUGUUAUGAAAAGAAAAGUCCUUACUUCGACUCAAUGCCCAAGAAGUAUUUUAGAGCACUGAAGUCCUUCAUUUCAAAUUCCUUAGCCAAAUAGCUCUGAAGCUUCACUAUUUUUCUAGAGUUACUACUUGUAACAACCAUGUCAUCAACAUAAACAAUAAGCAUAAUAAUGUCAUCACCAUUUCUCUUAUUAUUUAGAGUGUGAUCUACCAUAAGUUGUUCAAAACCAUACUCUUUUUCAUCGAGUAGCUCAACUUUCCAAACCAUGCCCUUAACAAUUCCUUUAACUCAUAUAGAGCAUUUUUUAGUUUACAUACCUUGCCUCUUUUUGGUGUAAACCCUGGAAGGGGAUUCAUGUAUGCCUUCUCUAACAUAUCACCAUGGAGAAAGGCAUUCUUCACAUCAAACUAUUGUGAUGGCCAAUUCAAAUCGACCAUAAGAGAGAGUAUGACUCUAACAGUGUCCAUCUUAGUCACAGGGGAAAAGUCUCUUGAUAAUUAAUUCCAUAAAUUUGAGUAUAUCCCUUUGCAACCAAUCAAGCUUUGUACUUGUCAAUUGUCUCAUAUAACUUAUACUUUACUGAAAACACUCAUUUACUUCCCACUAUCUUCUUUUCCUAAGGGAACUCAACCAUCUCCCAAUUAGAAUUCUUUUAGAGAUCCUUCAUAUCUUCUACCAUAGCAAACUUCUAUUUAGGAUCUUUAAGGGUCCCCUAAAAAUGACUAGAAAUAGACACAAAAGACAAUUGAAAAGCAAAAGCAAGGUGAGUCUUAGAUAGACGACAAUAAGAGAUGAAAUUAGAAAUAAAAUAGACAACAUUAAAGGAUGAUUUUAAGAAACCCAACCUAUCAGGUUCUUUACCAUCAUGAAGAGGAUAUCUCAUACCUUGAUCACCAAUUUGUGGAUUCAAGGUAGAAGUUUCAAAAGUUACAAGUGAAGGAACAUGUACCUUAGGAUUAGUCUCAAUGGAAAAGUCAUUUAAUGGUAUGGUAAUAUCAUUAAUAGGAGUAUUGAAACCUUGAAAAGGUAUGACAUUAGCAUUUUUGUUCUUUCUUAUAUAACCUUAUUAGAAUAAUUUGGCUGGUCUUUCACACUUUCUUUUCUUAGAUUCAAACUCAGUUGUCAGAGGGUUGGGAGCAUCUAAAGACUCCCCCUUAUGCAAAUCAGUUGAAUCCUUACUAUUAAUCUCCCCUUAAAGAGGAAUUAGAAACACAUUCCCAUAAAAACAAUACUCCAGUUUACAGAAGUUGACAUCCAUGGAGACAUAGUAUUUUCUUGUAAGAUGAUGAAAACAUUUAUAGCCCUUUUAAGAAUUAGAGUAACCAAGAAAGACACAUUUAAGAGCAUGAGGAUCAAGCUUAUCCCUUUGAUGAGAGUGUAUACAAGCAUAACAUACAUAUCAAAAACUUUAAGACAAAGAUUCAAAACAAAAGGAAUAGGGUGAAAUCGUGAUAACAUUCACAAAGGACUUUGAUAAUCAAUGACAUGAGCAGGCAUUUGAUUGAGAAGAAAUACAACACUCUUGAUAACCUUAGCCUAGAAACGUUUUGGGACACGCAUAGUAAAGCAUAAAGCUUGGGCCACCUCUAGAAUGCGUUGAUUUUUACACUCUACUAUGUCAUUCUUUUAUGGUGUGUAUGUACACAUUGUCUAGUGGAGAUUCCAUUUUCUUUGAAUAAAUCAAUAAGGGAUUGAAUUACAAACUCACAACCAUUGUCAGAGUGAAAGACCAUAACCUAAGUAUUAAAUUGUGUAGCAAACAUUUUGGAAAAUUGAGGAAUAGAACUUUCUAGUCAUAAAGGUAAAUUGCUUAUAUCCUCAAUAAACUCAGCAACCUUCAAUGGUUUAGUGAGGCUCCUCUAAAGGUAGGUGAAAGUGUUAUGAACCCUCAUUUGGCCGGGCGCUAAGCACUAGGACCAAUGAAUCCUUGUAAAGUGGUCUUAUAUGACAAAAACUCAACUUAUUACUUCUUAUUCAUCUCUAACUUUUGCAACUUUACAUGUCUUAAGUUAUUCAAGUACUGUAUAGGUUGAUUCAGAAACAUUUAAUGUCAGCUCUCAUCAAAAUGGUAAACACAAGAAGUUAAGUCAUAAGAUAAAAAAUAUCAAUUUUUACAAAUAUACCAAUAGAAGGAUUUUACAAAUAUAUUGGAAAAUAUCAACAAAAAUUUUGACAAAAAAUAUCGAUAUAACCAAAUUUGAUCAAAACUCAUAAAAACAUUUAGGAAAACUUCAAAAUGAUAAAGAAACAAUAAUACAUAUAUUGAAAUCGCUUUGUUGAAUAAAUUAAUACAUGUAUAAUAUAAGUUAUUAUAUUCAGCAACAAUAUCAUGUGUAUUGAUAAGAAAUAUGAAUUUUCUAAAUGUACACUUAAUAUUAAUUUACAUUAAGUAUUUAAUUUAAUUAAAUGUCAUGUCAAUAAUUUAUAAAUAUUACACUAUAAUGGUUUCUUUUUGUACUAAAAUGAAUAUCAUUGUGAUUCCAUAACACUAUUGAAUGAAGGAAUCUUAUCUCGAUGAGACAAUAAUACAUAUAUUAAAAUUGUUUUAUUAAAUAAAUUAAUAUAUGAAUGAUAUAAUUCGUGACAUUCAGCAAUAAUAUGGGAAAUUUGAAAAUACAUUUAAUACUAAAAUGAUGAUAUAUCUACUUUACAAAUAUAUGUGUGAUUAUUUUUAUAUUUAAAAAUAUUUAUAAUUUUAUUUACAUAUUUAUAUAUUUUUCGCAUUCAACUCAUGAUUUUUGGAUUUUCAAUUGUAAAUUAAAUGGAAUUUGAAAAUAAGAUAAUUAAAUUAAUUUGUUUAUUAAAAUUUUAUUUUUCAUAAAUGCAUACAAAAUUUACGUGUCAAUAUACUAUAUUAUAUAAUAUGUAGGGCAGGAAAUUUAACAUGGCAGGGUUGCCCAAGUGGAUGGAAGCCGGCUUUUCACGGGAAAGAAGAAGGUUGAAUCGGAAAAAAAAAAUUAAAAUUCGAUAAAUCAGGAAAAAAAAUCAAAAACUGACUGGAAAUUUCAACCAUUCGAUGUAUCUCAUAAUAUUUUCUACAAGGGACCACCAAAACCCAAAAUGUCGAUAAUAUUUCGCGAAGUUUUGAAGUAAAAACUAAAAAUUAAAAAUAAGAUUUUAAAAUCCGUUUGUCCAUAUUUUCUAUAACUUAUUUUUAAAAACUGUUUUUAAGUUAAAAAAUAAAAAAUUAUUUUUAAAAACAAGUUUUAAAUAACAUAAUCAAAUGAACCUAUAUUUUUCUUUUAUUUUUAAGAAUUGUUCUCUAUUUUAUCUUAUUUUUAAAGAACAAUAAUUAAAUUGUUAGAAAUUUUUAAAAACUAUUUUUUUGUUUAAAAAAUAAAUCACAUGGCCAAACAGGCUGUGCAUACACUCGAGUAUGGGGCACAAUUUUUAUUGCCACAAUAAGUCAAACUCUAUCAAAACUCUUAAACAAACUUCUACAUCUUUAAUUUCUUACUAAAAUUAUUAAUUUUUAUUUAGAAAAUAGAAUAUUUGAGGUACACAAAUUUUGCAUACUCUUGUCAAUUUUUCUUUAUAUAUAAUUUUUCUUUAUUUAUUUUUUAAUUGUUGAAUUUAUUACAUCUCAAAUUUUGUAACUGUCCUUACUAAGAUUUUAACCAUAUUAUUUCCAUGUUUUUGUUGUAGAACAUCUCUAUAACUAAAAUUUGUGGGGAUUAAUUGAUUGAAACUAAGGCCUCGUUUGGGAUGGCUUCAUACAUUUAAAAGGUAAUAUUGAUCUUACAAAAGUUCCAUUAUCAAAAUAAAAUGUAUACUUGAAAUAUCAUUUUCCAACCAUAAACUCUUCGAACAAAAUUAACCGAACACAUGUAAAAACACUUAUUAAACCUAAAAAAUAGCUUUUGACUUCUUAAAAUACUAACUUAUAUCAUCUACAAAAAGUGCUAUCAACAAAAGAGCUUAUGAUAAUUAACACUCAUAUUUAUCAUUUGGAUCUGCAUAUUUUACCAUGGGCUCAAGCUUAAUCAUGUUUGUAAGAGCAUAUAGAUUUCACUUGCUCUAGCUAGUUUUCCACCCAUUCCAACUGGCAAAAGGUCAACUUUAUGUGAACUUAAAAGGUGUUGAUUUCACUGUACAAAAGGAACUUGAAUUUCAGUACUGAGACUAGAUGGCACUCUCCAGCUUGGGUGAGACCCACCUAUGGUUGCUCUACUCUAGGGGCCAUUGUGCUCACCUGAUCAAUCAAAGAUCAUCAAACAAAUACAUUUAUCCUUGUCACGCAUUUUAACUUCGCCUUGAAUAUUUAAGACCCCGGCUGAAUAUCAAAACAGAGUUUCAGAUUUGGAGCUUCUAGACAUGGAAGGAACAAGGGUGAAGACCUUAAGCCACACUGGCAAGACAAAACAGGGGGAGAAAAAGUGGAGUUGUUCAUAGAACGUAUAAUUACAAUUCCAAAAACAGAGAGUUGAUACCAUAUCUGGAUGCCCCUUGAAAUUGAAUUUUGCUAUCAACUGGUGGCAGUUCAUAAAAAGAGGAGAGGACUGAAAGGAAAUCCAAGUAAUGUACAUUUCAGACAUGACUCCGUUCGAUGCAUAAAAAAGCAUUACUAUUCAAUAAUUGAAGCAAAAUGUUAACAAAGAAGAGAGAAGAAAGACUUCCUCAAAGAAAUUUCUUUUUAAAAAGAAAAAAUAUUUCACUAUUAAUUCUUCUACAGCAUUUACCUCAAGCAGAACCUUACCCCAAUAAGUUAGAUCUACAUCAACAGAUUUCAAUCCUUGAGUAAAUUACAUAUCCUGAAAAUCUGCACAAGAAAUAUCAAGACACCCAUGAAUAAGAAAAAAUAAAUAAAAAAGAGGAAAGAAAGAAAAUGCAAAAAAAAAAAAGAGUCAAAGGUGGUUUUAGGAAAUUUGGACUGCUAAUAACCCGGCCAGGAAGAGUAUGUUGGUUCAACUGCUGACACAAACUGGAUGACUUCACAAAACCAUUCACAUGUUUGAUAAACCUUUUUAAGCCAUCAUUUCAAAUGGGAGCAGUGUAUACUUCCCCUAAAUUUACAAGCCACCCAAUUUGGUGUUGAAUCAACAUGGUGAGGAGUUCAAUUAAUGGAGAAACUAGAUGGGUUUGUCCAGGUUUAAAUAAUCGUUUUUAAGAAACAUUGCAGCCAGUCAGGCAAAAGCAUACCUAAAUUUAGAGUGCCAGUAAGCCAAGCAUGUAAAAGAACUUGUGCUCUGGCAGCCGUUUGAUCAUCUUUGGGGUUGAUCUGAACCUGAAGGUCCAACUGAAGGUGUAGCUGGCACACUACUAGCUGAUCCAUUCUCAACAGGUGGUGGCACACCCCAUUUGCCUUCGGAUUCAAGGGGCUCAAAAACACACACUCCACCAUCAGAUAAUCCCAAUGCAAACUGAUUUGGCUCUUGUGGAUGUGCCGCAAUCACAAGGGGGUGUACAUUAGAAUUGCUGCAGACAGAAAUUUUUUAGUGGGAAUCAACAACAGAAAUCACACAUGCUGGAGGUAGAGAGCUUGAUUCUCUCAUAACAAAAUGGACUACAUAAUUGCAGGGACAGGAUAUUAACAAUAAUUGCACAUUCUUAUAUGUAGAAUUGACAUAUUAUUUGAUAUCCCAUAAUCAAAGAUCUCAGACUGAAGCAAUAUAGUUUAAGAAAGCAGCAAGCUCAAUAAAUUCGGAGUCCAUAAUCCAGGAGCCACCAACAAUUAGUGGAUGGUGUCUCACAUUGGCAGAGAAAACUCAAUAGCGACUCGCAGGAUAUAUAUUUUAUUUGAACAUAUUAUACGGUAAAGAGUUUAUCAUUUUGGUGCACAUUCAAGAUUCAAAAAGAAAAAUAGAAACAAAAAUCUCUAUCAUCAGUGCUAAAAGCAAGCUCAUAAGAGUGUUAUAGAGGAAUAUCAUAUGUCACAAGAUAAGCUUCACACAAGAGUUUCUCCACCAGGGAAGAACAUGAAAUAAAGACAAUUGUGAAAAGACAAAAAAAAAAAAAAAAGCACUAGUUUGAAUUUAUUUUAAAAUUUAGUUUUACUUCCUUGUCACAUGUUUAUAUAUGUAUAUGCUAGGGCUGUGUUAAUGUGACUUAUAAUAUACACCAACUUGUAGAUGGAUGCAGACAUGUACCAGCAGUAAAAGUAGCAGCAGCAAUCAACAAAGAGCUUCCCUAUACAAAAUGGAGCACCUAGGCAAGAUUCAUAUAAAUGCUUUACAGUUUUACUUGUAAUUACCAUGUUUUAAAUGGAUGCAUGCUUCAUUGGAAUUCAAUUGUCAUCUUGUCCAUGGGAUGUGGGUGUUUCAUUUUAUCAAGAUAAAGGAGAUUUUUCAAAUAAAUCCCACCUGGCCCACAGAGCAAAGUAAAUACCUGACACUGGCAGGAAGGUAAGCAGUAGGAUUAAUACGACAUCGUAGCCUGAGAUUUGCAGCAUUGAACACACAGACAGUUGCAUCUAAUAAAAUAAAAUACAAUUAGAUUUGAAAUAUUUAAUGAAAUAAUAUAAGGCUAGGUUUAAGUAUGAUAUGUGAAAGAAUAUAUAAAUAUAAAAAUAAUUCAUAUUUAAAAAGAAUAAGAUGAGUAGUUUGAAAUUGUGCCUAUGUAGAAUGAGCGAACUCGCCUAUAUAUAUAUAGAGAGAGAGAGAGAUGAUUUUAGGAAACGUUUCUAACCUAAAAAAUAUUUUUGAAAAAAAAUUAGGUGUUUAACAAAAUUUUUGAAACACUUUUAAAAAUUUUAAAAACCAUUUGUACUAUUGAAAAAAUUACUUACAAUUUUUUUAGUGAAACACUUUAAAUGCGUUUGGGAGUGAUUCUACAAAGCGUUUUUAGUAUUGUUAAUACUUGAAUGAUAAAAAUUUUCAAGUAUUAGAAAUAUUAAAAACGUUUCCUAGAAUUAAUAUCAAAUGGAUUCGGAAUAAAUAAUUCUCCUAAAAAACACUUUUAAGAAAAAAUACUUCAAGUAAAGACACUUUAAAUAAAAACAUCGUCAAACAUACUUUUAAUUUCAUGGAUAAUUAAGAGAGAAGUUGGAUGAGAAUAAUCCAAUAAGAUAAAUAUUUCAAUAAAAUUAAUCAAUUUGAAAGUGUGUUAUUCCAAAUUUAUAAAGAACUAUAAUUUUAAUAGUGGUGGCCAUAAUUCCCAUGAUGCAAAAAAGUUUAUUUUAAAUAUUGUUUUCUGUUUUAAAAACUGCAAACAUGUAAAUGAACAUGAUCCUGUUUUCAUGUAAAAAAAAAUUAAAAAUUAAUAAAAUUUUCUUAAAUAAAAUUCGCAAUACUUAUUUUCACAAGGCCUUAAUAGAUCUUAUUUUUAUUAAUUUCUGAAAACCUGUCCUUAAACUUGUCACAGAUAAACCCAUUUCAUCCUUAACAAAUUAAUGUAAUUGUGUCCAAUCCAAUAUUCAAACAUAUAUACAUAAUGGUUUGUUUCAUGAUCAAAACCUGAUAACAGGCAAUGAGUUUAUUACAACGGAAACUAUGGAGAAGCGGUAGAAGGAAUUUGGAUAUUAUAGUACACAUGGAUCAUAAUUUGUUCAUCAGAAAAUUCAGUGGAAUGAUAAAAGAAAUUAUUUGUCUGAUCUCUUGGGAGCAUGAUAGUAGACUUCUUCCAGCAUGAGAUGCACUCUUUUGGACUGGGGGAGUCAGGCUUGCACUGCAUCAAUUAUCAAAACCAUGCAUUUAGGGAUCACAUCCCAUGGUAGUUAUGGAAGCAAGAACAUUAAUAAUUAAUGGUUUUAAAAAAAUCAUAAAAGUAGACAUAAUAUUGUAUGUUGUGUGUACUAGUGAAGAAGCAAUUCAAUUACCACUCUGGAGGGCAUGCAGCUAGAGCGAUGUCAUCAUCAGUGGUUAACACCAAACCUCUCGGAUGUGAGAUAUUUUGGACCGAUCAUUCCCUCUCACCUUAUGGUAACGAUCUUGCAGAGUAGGAGAGAGGAGGAUAAUCACUUUCUGUAGUGGAGUUAUCUGGAGCAGGCGCUCGGGCAGGCUUUCCAGCUUGAGGCAUUUAUAUAUGGUCAAGGAGUGGAGACAUGGCAUUACUGACCUCCCUUCUUCAUCUUCUUCUUUUACUUCCCACUUCUCCCACUCUUCCAUUUCAUUAAAACGGAGGUGCUUCAGCUUUGGGAAUGCAGUUGUUGAAGAUCCCAAAAACUCACCACCCACGUAUUUCAGUCUCUUCAUAUGCUCUAUUAUCAGGCUUUCAAGAAGAGGUAGUUCCCCCAAUGGAGGCAAAUAUGUAACCUGUGCGCAAUGCAUAAUUUGAAGCUUUUUCAAUUGGGCCAACGAUGAGGCCGCUAUCCAACUGGGGAACUCGGUGGCAGCACUGUAAUAACUUAUUUUUAAAGACUUCAAGUUUUGAUGAGGCUGUAGAGCUUCAGCCACACCUUUUGAGGCAGCUGAGCCAAGCCACCCAAAACCCAUUAGUUCCAAGUGAUGGAGGUGUUUCUUAUUCUUCAAUUCUGCUUCGCCAGCCUCCUCUGCAUCUUUCACAUUAUCUAUCCGACUUAUCACAAGACCUCCCCUGAGGCUGUUUAAGUUUUUCAGUUCUCCUAUUUUGCAUACACCAAUUAUACGAAACUCAGUUAAUGUCCGAAGUGAGGUCAAUCUCCCGAUUCCUUUUGGCAACAUCAAUACUCUACUGCCUUCCCAUUCAAGAUGUCUCAGGUUAAUUAGUUUUCUCAUCCCCUGAGGUAGUUUUAUGAGCAAAUCUGAAAGAAUUAAAGUUUGCAAAUUAUAUAGAUCACAAAUUGUUUCUGGCAAUUCCCCGCGCAUCAAAUUAUUUGAUAGAUUAAGGAACCUCAGAUGCAUCAAUUUCCCCAAGUUCCUCGGCAGUUCCACAAUUAACCGAUGCCCACUCAAGUCUAAUGCCCUAAGGCAAACCAAAUGUUUGAAUAAAUUAGGUGGGGGUUGAGCAGUAGUGUUCAAAUUGACCACACGUCCAACAAACAAUGUGUGCAGAUAUUUCAAAUUAUGGAUAGUGCUAGGAAAUCCAGCCCAUGGUGUGAUAAUUAAGGUUGCAUGACGAGCCUUUUGGAAGGAGGAAGCCAUCCUCACUUCCUUUUCAUCAUCAAACUCCAGAAUGAAGCAUUCAUUCUUGGUCAAAGAUUGGGCAAGAUCAUGCACUAUAUCAUGCAUCUUGCACGAUAUUAUGUUGUCCUCAUUAUCUCUACGAAAAUCUUGGAAAAGUGACCGUGACACCAAGUCUUCAAAGUAGUCUCCACCUGUUUUCUCCAUCUCUAUGCUUCCUCUAGAAUUGAGAUAGCUAUUUGCCAUCCACAACUUGAUCAAUCUAUCUUUACUAAUGAUUUGAUCUUUUGGGAAGACAGCACAAUAUGAGAAGCAGCGUUUAACAGCAGGGGAUAAAUCAUAAUAACUCAACAAUAAAGGAGUGGAAAGAUGUUUCUCAAUCACAUCAAGUUGCCAUAUUUCAUUAUUCAAAAUACUCUCCCAAUUUUCUUUAUUAUCUUUUAAGCGCAUGAGACUCCCUAAAACUUUUGCAGCAAGAGGCAAGCCCCUACACUUGUCUGCUAUUUUCCUGCCAAUGUUUUCUAGUUCUUCAACUUUUUCUCUACUCCUUCCACAAAAGGCUAUGUUACUGAACAAUGACCAACAUUGCCCCUCGGACAAUUCUCGUAAGGGGUGCUUGUACGUGGUUCCCAUCAUGGUAGAAACGUCAUCUUUUCGUGUGGUCACCAAAAUUCUACUUCCCGGUGCCCCGCCCUUGAGAGAACUCUCUACUUUUUCCCACAAUUCAUAGUUUUCAGUCCAAACAUCAUCUAGCACGAGUAGGAACUUCUUAUCGGCAAUAAGUGUGCAAAUUUUUUGUUCUACAUUUUCCAGCUCAUGGAAAUCACAAGACUCUUUCUGGAGGGCUUCAAGAAUAGCCCUAGAAAUCGUCACUGGGUCAAAAGGAUCAGACACACAGACCCACAUCCUUUCAUGGAAAUAGGCCUUCACCCUAUCGUCAUUGUAUGCUAAUUGAGCAAGAGUUGUUUUGCCGAUCCCUCCCAUCCCAACUAUGGAGAUGAUGUAGAGGGAGGAGCUUUCUUGGGAACUCCCACCCAACAGCUUGUCUAUUAUAACGUCCAUAUCUGCAUCCCGACCGCAGAACUGGCUAACAUCAAUUACAGAACUGGUCAUACGUCUAUGUGGUUGCUGGAUGGUACUACUUGACACAAAAUUGAACUGAUUUCUCUCAUUUGCAAUGGCAUCUAGUUGUUUUCUUAUGUCCUUAAUCUUAAUACCAAUAUCACAGCGCAAAAGAACUUGUUUGAAGCAAACGCAAGGGGAGGGAAGGCAGGAACUUAUCUUGAGCUUAGGGAUGCAAGGGUUUUCAGCCCCAAUCUGUAAUUUGAGAAGAGCAGUGUUCCACCCAUCCACCACGUCAUCCAUCUGGUAGGAGAUGUCCUUGAGCCUUUCUAACCAAACUUUUACAAGUUCUUCGCUGAACUGUCUCUUCUCUGCGUCUGCAAGAACAGCUCUGAUGCUCUGGAGUGUGCUGUUUAGGUUGUCCACCUCGCUUCCGACACCCACCACCAGAGUAACUUGUUGUUCCAAGACUGAAGCCAAUCGCUCCAGCACGAUAGAAACAAGAGCAUCCGCCAUAAGGGUUGAUGAAUAAGGUGGGGUUGAUGAAUCAAAGUAAUGGACAGAUACAACUAAGAUCGAUGGAGAGAAAGGAUGUGGAGCUUUAGCGAGCUUAAUUAUGUUCCCUUUAAUAGAAUGGAAGAGAGGUAAGAACAGAUUACUUUAGUAAUUAGUUCAAAGUCUCCAUUCACCUGCAUGCUUGAUAAAUUUAACAAAAUAAUUCAUAUUUCUUAUUAAAUAUGUACAAUUCAUUUUUCACAAGGAGCAACUUAUUAGUGCAACAAUUAAAGCAAAACACAGUCCAUCAAAUUAAUAGGAAAUGCUACCAAUUUAAAAAGAGUAAUCCACCACCCUAAUAAUAAUUCAUACACUAUCACAUGUCACAUGUCAAGAAAUAAAAAAUAAAAAAUAGAUUAAAAUUUGAUAAAUUAUUUUUAUUUUCUAGUUCAAACUCAUUUUACUUAUUUGAAUAAAAAAAAUUAAAAAUUUAUAAUAAAAUCAUAUUUAAAAUUUUAUUCUUUUAAACUCUUUAUUCCCUAUUUAAACAACUAAUAGAUAUUUAUUGAUAUAUAUAUAUAUAUAUAUAUAUAUAUAUAUAUAUAUAUAUAUAUAUAUAUAUAUAUAAAAGACUUCAAAUUACCUUUGGAAAUGUCCAAAAUCCAAAUUAGUUGUUUCACCGAUGAAUUCUAUGCCCCCAAUCUUAAAUGGAACAUAUAUAUAUAUUGUUUCACCGAUGAAUUCUAUGCCCUAGAUCUUGAAUGGAACAUAUAUAUAUAUAUAUAUGAUGAAUUCUAUGUCAUCAUCAUAUUUUAAUGAUAAAUUCGGAUCAUCACAUGUCAUCUGAAUAUAAUAAAAAGUGUCCAACGUCCCACUAGCCUCAAUAAUACAUCAUAUUUUAACGAUAAAUUCAGAUCAUCAUAUAUCAUCUAAAUAUAAUAAAACGUGUCCAACCCAUGCCAAUUUUGUCAUCUGAAUACAAUCCACCACCAAGUGUCAAUGCCGCCUCAUCUUUUGUCAUCCUGUAUUUGCAUACUUUGGAAAAAGAAAAAAUAGCUAAACAAGAUGAUUACAUAUAUAAAUGAUAGAACAAUCAAACCCAAUAGCUAAACAAGAUGAUUACAUAUAUAAAGAAAAAAAGUUUUUCUUCAAUUCCUUUUUUCUAUGGUGAAGUAAAAAAUAAAAAAUAAAUUGAAUCUCUAAAACUUUAGUAAACUACACCCUUAAUGCAUUGUCAUUCCAUGAUUUUGUAUUUUAGUUUUUAUAUAUAUAUUUUAAUAUUAUCUGUUAGAUGAGAUUACUAAAACUUUUUUAUAUUUAAAUAUUGCUUCUCGGUUGGACUAAUCCAAUUUCAGACCACUUCUGCUUUGAAACAUACGCCCCCUUCCCCUCUUGUGCCGGAGAGAGCAUAUUUUAUUUGAAAACUAUAAAGAAUUCAUUUAAUUCACAUCAUUUUACCUCCCUUGAAUACAUUAAAAUAUGUCAACCGACGAGUAUAAAUGCACCUUUAUCAUUUAUAUACAUCUUCCUUUCCUUUUAAUCUCAUCUUCAUGCAUGUGUGGUAAAAUAUUUUUGGCUUUCAAGAUGAGCUGUGAAACUAUAUAUUAAGUUGGAUUAAUUAUUACAAAUUGCCAUUACUUAUAUUAGAUUAUAAAAUUUGGUCACAGUAGAGGGUAGUUGGAUGUUAAACUAUAAAUUAAGUUAUUCCAAAUUGCAAUUAAUAUUAUAGAUUAUUACAUUUGGUUGAUGUUUGCUAAUGAUAAUUAAGUUUGUCUUUUACCAUCUAGGUGUAGAGUAGUUGGUUGUGCUACCUUAAAAUAAGUAUGAUUAAAUUAUAUUAAAAUAUAUAACUAAUUGUUUUAGCUUAUAUAUAAUUUUAAUAUUUAGUUAAACUUGUUUCAUUGAGAAAAAUGUGUGAUUCUAAUAGAAAUAGAUACAAAUCUCCAUUUUUUUACUUACCCUCUAAUGUACUUUAGUUCAUUAGUCAAUUUUCUAUUCUUUUAUCAUUUCUUGUAAAUUUUUUGAAACUUGUCGUGAAAUUUAAUAAAAAAUAUAUAUAAUAUUUAUAACAGGAGAAAGACUUCUAUAACUAAUAUAGCUUUCUUAAGAGGAUUUAUAAUUUUUUUUUUCCAAAAUGUAGUGAAAUAAUUUUCUAAUUUCUACUUUCUUUUCAUAAUUAUGUGAGACAUGAAUGUUAAGGUAGCAAAAUUUUAAAACGGUUGGUUAAAUUCAUUAAUUCAUUAUUGUUCUUCCUAUUUCAAGCUUAAUUUGAAAAGAGUUAAAGAUGCCCAUCACCUAAUUAAAGUAAUUUUAUCUUAUUGAAGACAAUUGUGAUAGAGACAAUCUAAUGUGCCAAGUGAAGAGUUUGAUAAUUUUGUUGUGUCAAUGGAAGGUUCACUAUAAAAAAAAUGAAAAAAAAAAAUAUAAAAACAAAGAAAUCCAUAUGUAAAGAUACAUGAGGUUUUAAAAUUGUUCAAUCAAUCAUGUUUAUCUCCACAUAUAAGAGAUAACAUUUCAUUAUACAAUAGAUUACAAAUGAUAGAAAUAGAUGCAACUAUUGGGUCUCGAAACAUGCCACUUUUUCUCAUCAUUGUAUCUCCACCUUGAAUUACGAGCCCUUUCACUUCACUAGGUAUGUCUCGUUCUUCCUUACAUCUACAUUUUAAUGAGUCUUUUUGCGCUAUGAGCAUCUCUCGCUCUUCCUCACAUCUCUAUUUAACACGUACAACCCUCAUAAUCUCAUUAAACAUUUUUUCUUCAUGACUUGUAAUAUUUGUAAAGAUAUUCCUACUAGUUUUCCUUAUUCUAUUAAGAAAUCUAAUUACAAUUAUAUAUAAACUUAAGAAAUAUUUUAUAUAAUGUUUCUUUUACAAAAAGAAAUAUAUUCAAAAUAGGAAUUUAAAUUAACAUGUUUGGUUAAAUCAUUCAUUUAUUCAUUAUUGUUCUUUCUAUUUCAAGUUUUAGAAAGCUUUAAAGAUGGUCAACACCUAAUUAAAGUAAUUUUAUCUUAUUGAAGAAAUUUGUGAUAGAAACAAUUUGAUGUGUCAAGGGAAAAGUUUGAUAAUUUUGUUGUGUCAAUAGAAGCUUUAGUAUAAAUAAAUAGAAGAAAAUAAAAAUAAAGCAAUCCACGUAUAAAGGUACAUGAGGUUUCAAAGUUAUUCGACCAAUCAUGCCUACCUCCAUAUAUGAGAAAGAACAUUCCACUAUACAAUAGAUUAUAGAGGACAAAAAUAGAUGCAACUAUUGGGUUUCGAAACAUGCCACUUUUCCUUACUCUUUGUAUCUUCACCUUGAACAACAAGCCUUUUUGCUCCACUAAGAGUGUCUCACUCUUCAUCCCAUCUACAUCUUGGUGAGUCCUCUUACUCCAUGGGCAUCUCUUGCUCUUUCUCACAUCUUUAUUUGGCACGUGUAGCUCUCACAAGCUCAUCUCUCUAUCAUAACUUUUUCUUUCAUGACCUAUAAUAUUUAUAGAGAUAUAUUCCUACUAACUUUCCUUAUUAUAUAAGAAAUCUAAUUACAAUCACAUAUAAACUUAAGAAAUAUUUUAUAUAAUAUUCCUUUUACAAAAAGAAAUAUAUUCCAAAUAGGAAUUUAAAUUAAUAUGUUUAGUUAAAUCAUUCAAUUUACCAAAUGCCCUCUUAUUACAUUGAAAUGAUUGUUUAGAACUAUGAAAUAGAAAAAUAUAAAUAAAUAAAUAAAUAAAUAAAAUAAAAUGAGAGGAGAGUGUAAAUUACCCUUCAAUUGUUGUAAUUAGGGAUGCAAUGGAAAAAAAAUAAUAAAGCUAGAUUUAAGUAGCAUGAUAGUAUUUUGCUUUUGGAGCCAACAUUUAUCUUUGACUUUAGGGGUAUCAGAUACCUUGUGCCAAUCUUCUCCAAUGUCCUCGUCAUAGCAUUGUUGUAGAAUCUUAGAAUAUGAGAUGACUAAUUCCUAUAGUGGUUUCUGUUGAAACCACUUUACAAAAGAGACACACAGAGGAGGAUAGAAAAUAAUUUUAUUAAUAUGGUGAUAUUUUUAAACUUCACCUGAUACAAGCCUUUUAUAGGCAAAACCAUCAACAGAAAUAGAAAUACUAAAAAAUAGGAAUAGAAAGAUAACUAGUCACUCUAAACGUGCUGCAACGACCUCCCUAAGACUCGAACAAUUCCUAAUUUAUUGAAAAACUAAACAGAGGCAUAUUUUUGACACAAAAACAAACUUGACUUGUUCAAUACAUCCUCUCAGCCACAUGCUGAUGUUGAUAACUUUAACACUCUCCCUCAACAUCAGCUUCCAAAAUCUUUACCAUACCGAGCUGAUGACAAAAGCUUUCAAACUUGCUACCACUCAAACCUUUUGUGAAUAAGUCUGCAACUUGGUCUUCUGACUUAAUCUGCUUCAGCUCAACCUCUUCUUCUAGGACCUUUUCCCUGAUAAAAUGAUAAUGCACUUCCACAUGUUUUGUUCUUGCAUGAAAGACUAGAUUCUCCGCCAAACGAACUACCGACUGGUUAUCACAGUACAAUGGAACUGCAUAGUCCACUAGUUGAUGUAGAUCAUUCAUCAGCCGUAUAAGUCACGUACUUUCUUGAGCUGCCAUUGUUGCUGCUCGGUACUCUGCCUCCGUUGUUGACAGAGAUACUGUCAGUUGUCUCUUGCUACACCAAGAAAUUGCUCCUGAUCCAAGCAUAAACACAUACCCGGUAGUUGAUCUGCGGGUGUCGUGAUCUCCUGCAUAAUCAGCAUCACAGUAGCCAACUAGCUUGCAAUCUUCAACUUUCUUGUACAACAGACCAUAAUCAAUUGUACCCUUCACAUAUCUCAAAAUUCGUCGAACUGCUUCCAAAUGAGGUUUCUUUGGAUUUUGCAUGUAUUGACUCAUCACACCAACUGCAUAAGAGAUAUCGGGUCUAGUUAAAGUUAAGUAAAGCAAACUACCCACCAAUUGUCGAUACAUUGUUGCAUCUUUCAAGUCUUUGCCUUCGUGUUCACACAUCUUGGCAUUUGGUUCCAUUGGUGUUGAGAUCGGCUUACAUUCGAGCAUCUCGAACUUUUUCAACAAAUCUUUGGCAUAUUUUUUUUUACAGAGAAAUAUCCCUUUGUGUGUACGAUCCACCUCUAGCCCAAGAAAGUGCUUAAGUUGUCCAAGUUCUUUCAUCUCGAAACGAACUGACAAGUUCUCCUUUGUUCGGCAAAUUUCUUCAAUAGCAUCUCCAGUGAUGAUUAGAUCAUCUACGUAUACAAGUACGAUAACUAACUUUCCUCCAUUAGCUUUGACAAACAAGCUAGAAUCUGCAGGUGUUUGAAUACCCACUUUGAGUUAGAAAUUCAGCAAUCUUACCAUACCAUGCUCUGGGUGCUUGUUUCAAUCCGUAGAGUGUCUUCCGCAGCUUACAUACAUAUUCAGGAUGACCUUGACUCUGAAAGCCCAUCGGCUGAUUCAUAUAGAUCUCCCGAUCCAACUCUUCAUGCAAGAAUGCAUUCUUCACAUCCAUCUGCCACAAGUCCCAAUCUUUGUUAGCUGCAAGUGCAAGUAAGACUUGUACAGUUGUAAUUUUUGCAACUGGACUAAACGUUUCAUCAUAGUCUAGUCUAUAUUGUUGAGAGAAUCCUCGAGCUACCAAACGAGCCUUGUUUUUUCUAUUGAUCCAUCUAUGCGACGUUUUAUCUUAUAAACCCAUUUGUAGGAAAUAGGCUCUACAUCUCUUGGCUUUGGCACGAGCUCCCAAGUCUGAUUUCAUUUUAAUGCUGCAAUUUCCUCUUUCAUAGCUUUACUCCAGUCUGGAUUCUGAAAUGCUUUUGCAAAUGUCUCUGGUUCUUUUGCGUUUGCAUUUUCUACUAUGGCAACAUUGGCAUAUUUGGGAUUUGGCUUCUUGGUUCUUGCUGAUCUUCUAAGUGGAAUUGGUGCUUCUGUUUCACUAGGCUCACCUUCUUUGCUUGGUUGUCCAUGCACACCAGUUUGCCAAGGACUUUGAGUUUCGUCAUCUCCGAUAUCACCAUCGGCUGCAUUUUCAGCUUCACCCAAGCUUAGUUGGAUUCUAGCAGAUUGCAACUCAUCCUUAAAAACAUCUGAAUCUGGUAAUAUUUCCUUUUCUGAGGACCACCAUGAAGAUGAUUCAUCAAACACCACAUUCCGGGAUGUGUAACACUUUCCAGUUGUAGGAUCGCAGCAUCUCCAUCAUUUUCGUUGACUAUCGUAUCCUACUAAGACACACCUAACAGUCUUCUUGUCCAUCUUGCUGCGUAAAUGAUUAGGUACAUGAUUACUACUCAAAAAGUGCUAUUUCAUAGCUUGUAAUGAACUCUUUUAAACACUUUUGAGUAGUAGUUAUCACCUUUUAACCCAAUUAACAUAUUAAGGACCCUUGCAAUCAAUUAUAAUCAAAUUGUGUAAGUUUUGGUGUUUUUCGUUAGUAAUUUGAUCACCAAAGCAAUCCAAGAUUGAGGAGAGUUCUUUGGAAUCCAUGGCAAAGCAAUGAAAGUUGUCCGGAUAGGAUAUGCUAUCAUCCGGACAGGGCGUCCGGGCACACCAUCGAAGGGCGGCGGAACGUGGGUCUUUUUCAUCAGGAAAACAUAUCCGGAUAGGGGAGCGCGCCGCCAUUACAUCCGGCUGCCGCCACUUUCCACCCGGAUGUAUCACAUCCAGAAUUCUGCUGUCGCCGCCAUUCCAUCCGGAUAUUUUGCAUCCGGCUCCUGGAAAUGAGAGGCGUUUCAACUUCCCCGGUUGGACAUAUCCGGAUCCUCUGACAACGUAGCCGGAGAGUUUCGCAGCCAUUUUGCACAGUGUCGCGGUGUUCUCCUGAAGCUUCCAGAUAUGUGCGACCGACAAUUGGGAUAUUUUGAGAUAUUUUGUUUUAGAUAUUUGUUGUCUAAAUCCCCAAACUCUCCUUGUAACCCACCAAUUAUAGGAUUCCUUAGUUAUUAAGUUUGGAAAAAGGAUGAAUAACCUUGUUUAUAUUAUUAUUGUAAUUUUCAUAUAAAUAUCUCUUGGGAGCCUGUUCUCAGGAGAAGACGAAUCUUUUGUAUAGUUUUCAAAGGAAGAAAAAUACAGAGCUUUGCUCUACUUUACCUUCUCAUUUUGAUUGUAUUUUCUUACUAGCCAAACAAGCUCUGAGGAUGUUUCCUCAGAGAAUGAGUGGCUAGACUUUUAGUUCCUUGGAGUUAAGGUUGCAGGGAAAGGUUUCAAGUGCAAGAAUUAGUAGCUUUGUGGUUUCAGCCAUUAAUGAAGAGAAAGUGUGAUCCUUUAAUGAUUUCUAUGUUUUUAGUUAACUUAAAACGCCUUCAAUUCACUUGAGCCAACACUUGGUAAGGCAAGUGAUCUCCGUCCAUGGAGAUGCACUAGUUUACCUCUUGCGAGCUUUUGGGAAGUGACUUGAAGGUAGGAUUUUCUAGAAUUGCCAACACUUGGUAAGCUUUUGGACUCUAAGGAGACAUCCAUUAGUUAUCUCUUGUGAGCUUUUGACGGGUAAUCCAAGGUUAAAUAUCACCUUGAAUGGCAAGUGCUAGGUGAGAGGUACGAGCCAUUGCAAGUUGCAUCAGUGAGAGGGAAUUAGAGCUUAAAUCCAUUUAAAGGAUACAUCUGUACAACACCGAUUAGAGAAUUGACUAUAUGUUAAUUCUCUAAUGCGAGGAAAUGAACCAAAUGACCGGAGCUCUGUUUUUGCAUGAGCAACCUCCCCUGUGAACCUAAACCUCCAAGGAAUGUUUUCUUCAUAAGUAAAUUCCAUUACUUCCUUUGUCGUUAGUUUAAACCUAAACCUUUUUCAAUCAAAGUUUGUGUUUUAUUUCUUAAGCUAACCUUGAAAUAGAAAGGCACCAAUUCAUCUUUGAAUUGGUAUCAUUUAUGAAUUGAAAACCCUUCCCAGUGAACGAUCCUAGAGCCAUUAUACUAUAGUAGCUUUGUCUUUGCUACCCUAGUACAUGGUGUAAUAGGUUAUAAAUUUUGUUGAUUACUCCCUCAAUCAAGGAGCACCAGCUGGACAUGAAUCAGCUUAGACACCAAUUGGGCACGAAUCAGUACAAAGACAUAGCAAACACAUCUGAAAACUUGAAAAUAACUAACUGUAGGCUUUAUGUUCCACAAUUUUUCAAAGGGUGAUGAAAAAUUUAACCUUUGUUGAGGAAGCCUAUUGAUCACGAAAGCUACAGUCUUCAUUGCUUCUGCCCAAAACCGUCCUGGAACAUUCUUUGCAUGAAGCAUACUUCUAUAGAUUUCUGCUAGGUGCCUGUUCUUUCUUUCUGCUACGCCGUUUUGCUACGGAGUGUUGGCACAUGUGAACUGAUGGCGUACUCGGCAUUCUCGGAGAAAGUAAAAAAACUCAUUUGAGGUAUACUCUCCCCCAUUGUCAAUACGCAGACAACGGAUUCUUUUAUCAACCUCUGCUUCCGUCAUUUCCUUGAAUUCUUUAAACUUUGAGAAAGUUUCAGAUUUUUCUUUCAUAAAGUACACCCACACGUACCUGGAAAUAUCAUCAAUAAAGGUCACCAUGUAUUUCAUCCCACUAAGAGAGGCUUGCUUAACAGGUCCAAACACAUCAGAGUGAAUUAGCUCUAAUGGCCCCUUUGCUUUCCAUUUUGACUCUUCAUACGGUAACUGAUGCGCUUUGCCGUACUGACAUCCUGCGCAAAUUGUAUAUUUUCUCACUUCAAGUUGUGGAAGUCCCUUCAACAUUGACUUUUUCAUCAUCACAAUUAGUUUGGAAUAACUAACAUGACUGUAGACCCUCAAUUUUGUCCAUUUAGCACACGUCUUUAAACUCGUUUUCAGUGCUCCACAGUAGCUCCUUGAUGGCCCAUUACUACUCGUACAAUUUACCUUUUUCUAAGUCACCUCGGAGAUUUUGGUUGAGGGAUUAUCUGACCCCUUAUUGUGACCUUUGGCAGCCCUAAUUUAGACUUAGUCGUUCAUUUUUAGGAUAGUUCUUAGGCAUGUUUAGGCCAUUUAGACAAUGUCCCAAUCACUUUAGGACACUUAGUUCAUUAGGCACCCAUGUAGGGCCGUUUAAACACUUCAUCGGAUUUAACUUUUAUAUAUAUAUAUAUAGAUAACUUUUAUUAUUGUUAUUAUUAUUAUUAUUAUUAUUAUUAUUAUUAUUAUUAUUAUUAUUAUUGCAUGCAUUCGAUAAUUAUAUAUAUUUUGGUUAUUCAUUUUCAUUUUUACUCUUUAUUUGUUUAUUAUUAUCAUUGUCAUUAUUAUUAUUAUUACUAUUUUUAUUUUUUAUUUUUUAUUUAUUUUUAUUCUUAUUUUAUUUAUUUACUUACUUAAUAGAAAAUUGCUUAAAUUGUUUAGACCUCAAAUGUGCAUAGGACCUCUUAUCGAAUAAUGGAAUUAUAUAACCUAGCUAGUCUCUCCUAGUUCUCUUUCUUUCAUUUGAAAUCAUAUUUCAUUAUAUUACUAAUGUCAUUAGUUUCAUAUAUUUUCUUUUACUUUUUAAUAUUAUUCUAUUCUAUUUUGCAUGAGGAGAGGAAUUGCAUAUUCCGGAAUAGGUGGCUCGUGUGAAAGCAAAAGAUGAAGCCAAUGAAGCUACCAUGGGAGGGGAAGGUACUAGAGAAUUCAAAUUCUAAAUGACUUGUACGUGGAGAAGCAAGGAAUAGCAUGCGUGUCGCACCACAAAGUGACAGCUGGAUAUUCCUCAUAGGGAUAUGGGGAUUUCAGGAUGCCUUUACGGAAGGUACAUGAAAGAGGACAAGACGAGAUCACCUUUUGAGAUGAGGGACUCUCAAGAGUUCUAUUGGGGGCUGCGUCUCAUUGCACUCUCCUGAAAAGUAGGGAAAGCUUGAAACCGAUUUCAGAUGCACAAAGCUUAACCAAACCCGUAGAGGGAACAAGUAGUGCUCCGAUCCAACCAUACGAUUCUACCCCUCAUCUCCCGUCUAUGGUGGAUCUGUUUCUUCAAGGAUGUUCAGAGGUCCUGAAAAAUGGCGGUCCCUGUGUUGGGAACCCUCCAACGUUCCGGACUGGAUUAGGAAAGUCAGUUACAGUAAAACAAUUUUCAAUAGCAAAAACGUUAUCUACUCUUGGUGGUAUUGAUUUCGGUGCUGGAAGCCAAGAUCAUGAUAGAGAUGGUGGAUGUGGUUUUUUUGAAUCCUCUUUUCUAGGCUGGUUCAGAAGAAAUGGUCGGUAUUUCUACUACUAGUCCGGUCAGAGCCAAGACAUUGUUGGGGUUAGAAGAAAAUACGGUCAUCAUUCUUGUCAAGAACACAUCACAAGGCAGAGUGUAAUGGAUGGCUUAGAUGGUGAACGAGAUUCUUCGUUUGGAGAUAUAAGAAGAUUUGAGCAGUAUAAAAGAGAGGACUCCAAACCAGUUCCAAGUUCUCUUGAUACUAGUACUUCUCGGAGAACAGAAUCAACAAAUGAGGUUGUUCCCAACCUCAAGCAGACAGAAAUAUAUAAUCUUGCACCAAAUUCGCCACCAGUCAGGUUUCAUAUUGCAGAUGCAGAUCAUUGAGGGGUCAAGGGAGGAUUUUCAGGUGAACGGCGUGUUUUCCGUCAAUAAAAUUGGAGUUUCUCCUCCGGAAAGGAUGUCAACAGCCAGCGUCAUCAACAGUUUGUUUUCUGGCGAAGAUUUGAGCACGAUCAUGGUGCUGCCAGUGAGGAAAGACGCCAUGGUCACAUCACCCAAGCAAGGUUGAACUCCGGCAGCCAUCACCGAGAAUGAAUGGAGAUUUAUGCUGGAAAAUACCACGACCCACCGCCACGCGUUCGCCAUGGGAAAAGAAGAGAAAUCUUGAUUUGUCGAUCUUACAAAGCUGCCGGAAUAUUCUUUGUCUUUUCUUUUCGGUGAAGUUUGCAUUACGAUGUGAAUGUUCCAGCGCGUGAUGGUGUAGGAUAAGGUUCCAGCCUGAUCAAUCCGAUUAAAUUAACGGCAGAUGAUGCAGUCAUUAAGAUCUGGACACUUGCCAAACGGGGUACAGGGCAACAUCUUUAAAAGAGUCUCCAAGGUGAACAAAACGUAAGCACUUUCCAUAUGUCCAAAGGCAUUAAAAAAAGAAACAAAAUAUUCCAUACAAAGAUAGGUGCUGCCAUAUAAAUAAGGGUCAGAGAGAACACGCAAGGGACUUUUCUUUUUUUGGUGGAGAGAUCAAGACAUAAAGCAGAUUUCUUCCAGAGAGGACGGAGACAGAUUUUUUUUAGAGAGAUCCAUAGCAGAGGAGAUAUUAUUUUGCUGAAACAAAAGAAGGAUUUUUGGCAGGAGAAGGAGAAAGGAGAGAAGAGAUAUUAUUUUUCUGGGAACAAAGAGAGGUCUGAAGGAAGAGGAAGGAGGCAGCCACCACACAUUCACCAUUGAGCACUAGCAGCCGCACCACCAUAGAGGAAUUCUAGAGAAGGUAAGUUAGAAUUUCUAAGGAUUUUAGUUUUAAUUUUUUAUUGGAUUGAAAGUUAGAGUUUUUAUGUAUUAAUUUUGAUUUUUUUUUUAAUCGGAUGAAAAAGUUAGAAUGUAGUUAGUUUGAUUUUGAUUCAUUGUCUUGGUUUCAAAAGUUAGGUUUUAUUUAGUUUAAUUUUAAUUCAUUAUGUUUGUCUCGAAAAUUUAGAAUUUUUGUUUGAUUCAAUUUUUUAUUCAUUGAACUAGAUUGAAAGGUUAAAAUUUUAUUUAAUUUAUUUUUUAUUCCUUGCGUUAUUUUUGAAAUGUUUGAAUUUUGUUUAAUCUAGUUUUGAUUUUUUUAUAUUAGAUUGAAAAGUAAAUUUUUGUUUGCUUAGUUUUGAUUCAUUACUUUGGUUUAAAAGGUGAGAAUUUUUUGUUUUAUUUUAAUUUUGAUUCAUUAUAUUACAUUGAAAAAUUAGAAUCUUUGUGUAGUUUGGAUUUGAUUCCUUGCUUAGUUCGAAAAGUUAGAAUUUUGCUUAGAUCGGUUUUAAUAGAUUUAAUUUUAAAAGUCAGUUUUUUUUAUGAGUCAGCUUUUUAUUUAGUUCAAGUGUUUUAUAAUUUUUAGUCUAUCAUUCUAAUUGAUCCUAUGUAAUAAAGUUUAUGUUUUUAAGUUUAUUUUGAUCAUGUUUUGGUUCAUCUUAUUUAGUUUAGAUAUUUUAGAAUUUUAGCUCAUUAGUCUAUUUGAUCCCAUCUAAUUAAAUUUAUGUUUUUUUAAAAAAAAAAUUGUAAAUCAUUUUUCUGAUUCAUCCUUUUUAGGAUUUAAGUUGAUUAGUUUAAGAAAUAUUUGGUUAAUUCUUGGUUGAUCCACUUUUAGUUUGUAUGUUUUCCAAAGUUUUAGAUAACUAAUUUAAUUAACCCUAAGUCGUAUUAUUCAUGUUUUGAGUAUACUAAUCUUCAUUCUUGGUUUAUCAAUAUUUAGUUCAUGCUUUUUUUUUUCUAAUAGGUUAAUUAGUUUAACUAAUCUUAUGUUAUUUUGCUCACGUUCUAAAAUUGAUGAUUCUAGUUUUUGAUUAGUUAAUAUGUUUUAGAAUUCUAUGUGCUUGUGUUACUAUAUUCACAUUAUUAUAAUUACAUGUUUAGGUGUUUGGUUGAUUUUAAAUUAGUUCUAGAUUGUUUAUCUCAAUUUAUGUGUUUGAUUGAUCCUUAUAAAUUCCCGAUUAAUAUUUCAUUAGUUUUAUUUGAUCUAAAGUCGUUUGGUUUGUUGCUUUGGUGAAUAUUUAUUAAAUUUGAUUUUUAGAGGCCAUUGGAAAAUCAUGAAGAUUGGCCUCUACCAUCACCAUUAUCAUUUUUGUUAAUUACUAAAAAAAAUUUUACUUUGAGGUUUCAUUUUUGUUUUGUUUGGUGUUUUAUUUCUUAUAUUUUAUUUUUUCCCAAAUUAAUCCCUUUUAUUUUAAAAUAAAAUACUUUUAUCAAAAAAUCAUUUUAAAAAAUCUAUUUCAAAAACUCAUUUAGAGUCCUCAGGAUCAAAAUCUUUUUUUUUUAUUUUAAAAAAAUAAUAUGCAACCAUAUUUUGUUCGGUUUGCAUCUUCUCGGUUUUCAACAAAAAUUUUGGUUUUGAACAAAGACACGAAUCAAAGCUUGUGGUCCCACAUAAAUGGGAUAAUUCUGAGCUAAAUUCGUGUAUAUCAAUUGGGGAAUUGGUGAAACCCCUACAUAAGAAAAUCUUUUCAAAAAUUAUUUUUGUUGCCAUUUUUGUCACUUUUUGAAAUUAUAUCUAUCUUUUUUUUAGAAAUUGUAUACAAGAUGAGUGUGAUAAUUAUUAUUUUCAUAUAUUUUGACAAUUUCUGCUAUGAUAAUUAGAUAACGAGCAUGCUAGGACUUCUUAUUUUAUUGUUUGUUAUCUAACCUCUCAUGUUUUGUGGAAGCGCAUUAGGAGUUAAAUAUGCUAUCCAGGUACGUUCCCUAAUACCCACUUUCUAAACCCUAUGAAUAUGUAUGCCCAUGCUUGCUAUCCUCUUUAAUUGCCUUGAUACACAUUUGAUGAUUGUUUGAUUAUCUUUGAUAAAACAAAUGUUGUGUGAUGUAUCUCCAAACUAAUCUCUUAUGUUUUAUGAUAGCGCUUGGGAAGCCGUCCAGGUACGCAUUUUUAACUCUCCUUAAUUGUGAUUUGAUUUUGUUUGAUAUGUUAUGUUCUUUUUGGAAUCACCUAGCCUACUUAAGUAUCUGAAAUCAACCAUUUAAUUGCCACGCUUCCCUUAACUUAGUCAAUAAAGACCUCUUUAGGGCUUAGAGGGGUGCUACCUCCUAGAGGUACCUUCCCAAUAAGUAACCUGAUCCCCGGACUUGGACUCGGGUUUUUCAAAGACACGCUUUUCCAAAAAUUAUGGAGUCAUUUUUUAGGGUUUUAUUUCUUGUUUUAUUUUCCCUUUUAAAAAAAAAUAAAAUAAGUGGCGACUCCAACUUUUUUUCCAAAAAUCAAAUUUUCACAAAAAUAAUAAAAAGCGAGUCUCGCCGAUCGAGUGGGGACGCACGUGAAAAAUGCGGGUCCACAAUGACUUAAUCGCAUAUGCCAUAAAUCGGUUGUCUCGUUCUUUUUGGUCUUGUCUACAUAUGCGGUUUCUGCAGACAUCACAUAGACUGACUCUAGUCUCCGUCCCUUUAUCACCGACUCUUCCAUAAUCUCAAGGUCACGAUAAACUUUCACAUCUUGAGGACCAAAUAGAACAAAUGGCCUGAAGACGUUAAUUGUGCUACCGAGAGAAGAUUUUUCUUCAUACCUGGGACGUGAUAGACAUUUUGAAGCGACACAUCAUUAGUAUUAUAUUGGGAAGAGACUAUCGUAUUACCAAUGUGAGCUAUUGGUAGUUUUGAGUUGUUCACUGUGACUACCAUAUGUCUUCCCUUGUACUCCGACAAAUCCUGCAGCUUUUCUUUAUCACCCGUCAUAUGAUUUGAGCAGCCUGAGUCAAUGAUCCAAUCCUUCUCAUAAUCAAUUUUUUCAGACGUUGUUGCUAUAAAAGCUGAUUCUCCUAUUGCAGCAAAAAAUACCUGAGCGUCCCACUCAUCUUCGCUUUUGGAAGUAGCAGCAUUACUUUCCACAAGCCCUUUUUUCGACCAACAAUCUUUUGCCAUGUGACACUUCUUUCUGCAAUUGUAGCACUUCCCUUCAAAUUUUUUCCUGGUGCCAAGAUUCUUCAAAUCUUCCUCAACACGAGCGUUCCUUUCACCUUGACUACUUUUUGCCUUGUCCUCAUUCUUUUUAGUUCUUCUGACGGUGUGCUGCUUGGAAUUCCACCUGCCUUUGUGGGCAUAAAGCGCUUCCUCUUCACCCUUGAGUGAAACUCCUCCCAUUUGUUUAGCCAAGGCUUCUUGACCAGCAAGCAAAUUCUCAAACUCAACAAGUGAUGGUUGAUUUUUCCAUCCCUGUACAGCAGCAACAAAACCUCUGAAUUCUGGUCUCAAACCAUGGAUGAUUAUUCUAUUCAUCUUGGUUUCACUGAUUGGGGCUUCUAGAUCCAACUCGGAAAUUUCCCGGCAUAACGUCUUCACCUUGUGAAAGUACUAAGCGAUCGUCAAGUCACGUUGUGCUACCGACAACAACUCGCUCUCUAGAAGUUGGAGCCUUGUGUCAUUCUUCUUUGAGAACAGCUUGGUGAACGUAUUCCAAGCUUCGUAAGGGGUUUCGGCAUCUCGAAUGUGCUCUAGCACAUCUUCUUCGAUCGUUGUCUUCAAAGCAAACAUCGCUUUGCCCGCUUUUAUCUUCCAUUUCCACAGUAUACCAUUCGCAUCCUCAGUCUUCGGUUGAGUAAUUUCGCUUCCGUUCACAACCUCCCAUAAGUCUUGGCCUUGCAUGUACGACAUCAUGCAUGUUGACCAAGUAUUGUAAUUUUGGUUGUUGACCUUUUUUAUUCCGCCAAUGACUUGAAGAUCACCCAUUUCAAUCUCUCUUUUCCUCACGUGUUUGACUCUCAAACACUCUCUGAAAUCCCUCUUCAACCUAGCUCUGAUACCAAAUGUUGAAACCACUUUAUAAAAGAGACACACAGAGGAGGAAAGAAAAUAAUUUUAUUAAUAUGGUGAUAUUUUUAAACUUCACCUGAUACAAGCCUUUUAUAGGCAAAACCAUCAACAGAAAUAGAAAUACUAAAAAAAUAGGAAUAGAAAGAUAACCAAUCACUCUAAACGUGCUGCAACGACCUCCCUAAGACUCGGACAAUUCCUAAUUUAUUGAAAAACUAAACAGAGGCAUAUUUUUGACACAAAAACAAACUUGACUUGUUCAAUACAUCCUCUCAGUCACAUGUUAAUGUUGAUAACUUUAACAGUUUCUUAAUUAGGAGCAUAUAGUCCGUCGAUCCCUUCAACUUUUGUUAAUAAUAGAUUUCCAAGUAACUGAGACAUGGCAUUACAAACUUCUCUUCUUAGUCUUCUUCUUUUGUUGAAAAGUUAAACUUGAUUUAAAACUUUAUAAAUAUUAUAAUUAUAUUUAGUCUCUAAAGUUUAAGAAAGAAUAUUUUAUUUUGAAUGAUUAUUUUAGUUUCUAUUUUUGAGUUACAAAUCUUAGAAGGUUUCUAUAUUUUAUUAUUAGGAGUUUCUAUUUUAUUGAGUGUGAAUAUGUAUAAAUAAGGUUAUAUAAUAUUUAAACAAAAGAGAGAGUGGUGGAAUACAACAAAUUUUAUCUUCUUUAUAAUUGUUUAUGUUUCUCUAUCAACCCUAUUAUUUAAAAAAAAUGGUAUUAAAGCCAUACGAAAAAAUGAAAAGUGGGAUAUAUGUGUUUCAAAUCCCUUAACUCAACAAAAACAAUUACAACAAUUGGAAUAUCAAGAUAAACGCUUUGCUUGGUUUACAAGAUGCAUGGGGGUUUGUAGAGAAAGACUACAAAGAGCCACAAGAUGAAACCACUCUAUCCUUAAAUCAAAGGGAUUUUUCAAAAUAAAUGAUGAAGAGAGACAAGAAAGCUUUCAUCAUUAUCUAUCAAGCAAUGGAUAAAGGCUCUUUUGAGAAGAUUUCAAGUGCAAUCACCUCCAAGGAAGUCUAAGAGAUAUUACAAGAUGCAUACAAGGAAGUUGAUAAGGUAUGAAAAGUUUGUCUUCAAACUCUUAGAAGAGAAUUCGAAGGUUUAAAUAUAAAAUAAUUAGAAGCAAUCUCCAAUUAUUUUUCUAAAGUAUUGACUACUAUGAAUUUAUUAAAAAGAAAUGGUGAGAGUUUAAAUAAUACUCGUGCAAUUACAAAAAGAUACUUCAACUAGAUUUGAAGUUUGAUUAUAUUGUUGUGGUUGUUGAAGAAUCUAAAGAUUUAGAUUCUAUGACCAUUGAUCAACUUAUUAGAUCGUUGCAAGCCUAUGAAGAGAUAUUAAAAAGGAAUAAUCAAGAAAAAUUAGAACAAGUUCUUCAGAAAAACUUUCAUUAAAAGACAUUGAAGAAAAUUUUAAUGAAAGGAGUCAAAAUAAUUGUGGGCAUGAUCAUGGAUGUGACUAAGGCAAUAGAGGAAGAGGUAGUUUCAAUUCAUCAAAAAGGAAAAAAAACCCAAACUCAUAUUCCUCAAGAGAUCAUGGAAGAUGACACAACUCGAGGCAAAGUAAAAGAGGAAUGUGAGUAUUUAGCUAGAUUGGCAAUUCUGGACAAAAUUCCUAAGUGUCUCAUAAUUCAGUUUUUUUCCACAUCCUUCUUUGCAUUACUUGCCUAAUGAAGAUCAAGUUGUUAUAUUUUCUAAGAGACCAAGGUAUGUGGUUGAGGUUGGAGUUUGAGGAAAUUGAAUCAACCAUGUUUUUUUUUCUUGAAAUAUUUAUUAUUUUUUUAGGAGUUAGGGAGGCUUAUGAAGCAUUUUUUCUUUUUCUUUUUACUAAGUGUUUAAUUAUCUUGUUCUAGGAUCAAUCCAGCUUUAGGUUAAAUCAAUCUUGGUUGCACUUUCUCGAUAUUAUUUCAUCUAUUAGAUUAAGGGUUUCUUUCAACUUUAAAAACUAAAAAAAAAAAAAAUAGCUUCUAAAAAUAGAGAGAAAAAUGUAAGGUUGCCCCUUAUACUCUCUUGUCUUACUAAAUUGAUGGUGUUUUAUUGUCGAGAAAAUCUCAUUUUGUUCCUGAUUUUCAGGUAGUUUUCCAACAAGUUUUCUUGGGAAAAAAAAUGGUUUGAUUCUUUCUUUCAUUCAUCUCUCAAUUUUUAAUCUAUUUGGGUUUGAGUGAAAACCCAUUUUCUUCUUGAUUGAGCUUCAAGAAGAGGCCGAGAUCAAGCUCUGUGGAUGCUAAGUAUGUCUUGAAAGAUGAAGGUAUGCAACUUAAGUGAGAUGCUGAUCAAGUAGUCUGUGAAGGAUUAAAGGAUUUGACCUAGCUAAAUCCUUGUACACAUUGCUUGUUCUUUAUAAUGGAAUUUUUUAUCGAUGGCAUAGUUUUUUAUCUCUUCAUAGAUUUUCCACAUAAAUUCUAGUGUCACCGUCUCUCUUUUUCUCAUUUUACUCCUUGAUUUAUUUUCAGUUUUAGUUUUCAUUUAUACUUGGGUAUAUAAGUUGAAUGGAAGAACAAUGGGUUGAAAUAAGUGUAAUUUUCUAUAGAUAUCCUAUAUAUAUUAUGAACCGUGUUAUUGAGAGUUGGUAGAUAUUGAUUAUAUUGAUUAUUUUCUAUAUAUAUUGAUUAUUUUGAUAUAGAUAUUUGGUAGAAAUUGACAUUUGUGUUAUUGAGAAAUUAUUGUUAUGAACUGUGUUGGGGAGUAUUGAAGCAUGCACAUGUGACUUGCAUUUGAAAAUUGUUGGAAGAGUGUUGUUUGUCACAAGAUGCUUCAAAUGACCCUUCCCAUAGGCUUAUGUAGAGCCCAGGAAGAAAGACAUUUGCGCCAUAGAGAUGGUGGAGGACUUUAAAAAGGAUAUCAAGAGGCAGUUCUACCUUGAUGAUGUGGCUUACCUAGCUAGGAAAAAUAUGAGGCGUCUCAAGCACAUAGGCUCGAUAUGCGACUAUGUUAAGGAAUUUUCUUCGCUCAUGCUUGAGAUUCCUAACAUGACUGAGGAGGAGGAGUUGAUAUUCAGCUUCAUGGAUAACCUACAAUGGUGGGUUGAGUAGGAAUUAAGGCACUAAGGCGUUCAAGACUUAGCCACUGCUAUGGCAGUAGCAGAGUCUUUAACAGAUUAAAAGAGGGAAUACUCCUCCAAGGUUAAGUCUUUAGAGGAUAACCACGCCACGGGUGGAGGAGAUGAGGUUUCAAGGGACCAUAAUGCUCCUAGAAUGGGAUUAGGCAAGAUGCCUAUCAUCCAGGAAGGAAAGGGUAAGGCGAAAAGGAAGGAGUUUACGCCUAAAAUAAAAUGCUUCCUGUGUGACGGUCCAUAUUGGGCACGGGAUUGUCCAAAGAGGAAGGCACUCAGUGCCAUGAUUGAGGAGAGGGAACAGAAAGAUGAAGCACAUAUGAGCUCGAUGUAACUACUAGGUGCCCUCCAAGUCAACCCAAAGCCUAGUACGCCUAAGACAUCCUUACUAUCAGGGGUGCAAGUAAAUGAGGUAAAAGGGGAACAAGCUGAGGUAACCCACUCACACAUGGACAAGGUCACCAAAGGAAAGGUGAACUCGAUGGGCAAGAUAUAGCAGCACUCCAAACAUCGAAAGUGCAGGGGGUCUGCAUCCAUCCGAGGCCUCAAGGGAAAAGGAGGUGGAAAAUAUCCUGGUUGAACUGGUUACCAGUAGACAAGGGGUCCCUCCUGUGAUAGAGUAUCUAGUCCGAUGGAAAUGACUACCUAAAAGACAGGUAAGCUAGGAACAUGUGGAUGCCUUGAGAAGGUUUUGGAGACACAUCGAGAGGUUUUAAGAAAAGGCAACGACGGGGACGUUGACAGCAUAGGUGGAGGAGAGUGUCACAAGAUGCUUCAAAUAACCCUCCCCAUAGGCUUAUGUAGAGACCAAGAAGCUUCUGGAGACUUCUACACUUAGACAUUGGAGAGAAGAGUGUGGAAGGUUCUAGAGAUGCCUAGAGAAGUCCACACAUCUCUACACUAUGGUGGAAGGCAUGAGAGGAGUCCAAGGCUUUCUAGAGAAUUCUAGAGAUCUCUUGUAUAUUCUUGUACAUAGGCUUGUACAUAGAAUGGUAUAGGGUGUUCUAGAAUAUUCUUGAUUUGUAAGGAACCCUCCAAGGUUCCAAAGAGUUCCAUUGGUGUCCUCAUUUGGCCAAGGCACCACCCAAAAACCACCAAAAUCACUUCCUAGCCAAGCAAGUGAGUUCCCAAAGCACUUGUAAAGCUUCCUUUGAGAAAUAAAAGCUUCCAUUCUUUAAGAGUUUCCUAGUACAAGUCGUGAGCAUCUUAGCCUAACAAGUUAAGCAUUGGGAGUAAGGCUGACUUAGCAAGAUCAAGUGUCUUGACUUGUCUAAGUGCUGCACGAGCUUAGGAAAAAACUAAGUCCAUGACAUGUUGCAUUCAUACUUGCAUGUGACUUUUAAUAUUUGUUGAAAUGUACUUAAAGAGAAGAAAAAUUGUGAGAAAUUUUAUGAUUAGAUAAUGUGUUAGGGAUCCUUUUGAAUUGAUUUAAAAAACACCUAUUCACCCCACCCCCUACCCCCUCUAGGUGUAGUUUAUCAUUGAGAUUCACUUUUAGGGAAGGUAUGAUAAAUCCUAAAUUUAAUGUUAAAAUUGCAACAAAUAUGGUCAUUAUACUUAUGAAUGUAGAACUUCCAUUAACAAUUUGGAAGGAUAAACCAACUAUGUUGAAAAGAAAGAUCAAGAAGAACAUAGAAUAUUGUUAGCAUAUAAAAAAGAAAGUAAAGAGAAAAACAUAUGGUAUCUUGACACUAGAGCAAGCAAUCACAUGUAUGGCUUCAAAAACAUGUUUGUUCAUAUAGUGGUCAUGUUACUUUUGGAGAUGCAUCCAAAAUUCUAGUCAAAGGGAAAGGUAAAAUCCUAAUUCUUUUAAAAAAUGGAAAUAAUCAAUUUAUCUCAAAUGUUUUACUAUGUGCCCAACAUGAAAUAAUAUAUUAAGUUUGAGUCAACUCUUAGAAAAAAUCUAUGAUAUUCAUAUGAAAAAUUAAGGUCUCUGAAUAAAAGAUCAAUAUGUCAAUUUAAUUGAUAAUAUGCCUAUGAUAAGAAAUAGAAUGUUGUUGUUAAACAUUCAAAAUGUUGUAAAAUGUCUAAAAUCUUACAUAAAUGAUUCCUCUUGGAUUUGACACUUAAGAUUUGAACAUCUUAAUUUUGGAGGAUUGAAAUUAUUGAACAAGGAAAAUAUAGUGAGAGAAUUGUUUUCUAUAGAUCAUUAAGAUCAAUUAUGUGAAUGAUGCCUACUUGGAAAACAUUUCGAAAUAAUUUUCCAAAAGAAACAAUUACAAGAGCAAAGAAGUCUCUAGAGUUUAUUCAUGUGGAUGUAUGUAGUGUUAGGAUUAAAACACUCUAAUCUUAUUUUCUGAAAGCAAUAAUAAACUCAUGCAAAAAAUAAAGCAUAAAAACGCACGAAAUUUAUAGUGGUUCACUCUUAAUUUGAGAGUUACAUCCACUUGUAGCUGCUGUAGAUUUUCAUUAUGAUGAAAAGAGAGUACAAGAGAAUCCUAAAACACUUCACCAUCUAGGUUUUUCUCUCUACGUUUUUCUAUUUCUUUCAACACCCUAAAAGAAAUAAAACUCUCUCUAGGUUGGCUACCCUAAACAUAAUAUAAAUAAGAUAACCAAAUGAAACAUGUAAAAUCCCUAAAAUACCAUUACUAUUGGGAUAAUAAUUAGGCUCCACACGUCUUAACAAUCUCCCGCUUGGAGAUUAAUCCAUCAUCAACUAUCUUCACCUAUAGUGGCUACGACUUCUCUAUCUCAGCUAAGAAGUCCAAUUGAAAUUGUGCACAACUCUAGUUUCUCAAUCAUUGUGGUCUUUGUCAACAUAUCAACUGGAUUUCAAUUCCCCUAAAUCUUCUCGAGUGUUAAAAUUGUAUCUUCCAAAGCUGAUCUUAUGAAGUGAUACUAAACCUGUAUGUGUUUUGUCCUAACAUGAUAAAUAGGAUUCUUUGCUAGAUGGAUGGCACUCUGAUUGUCACAAUGUAACACAUUUCGCUUAUACUUGUGACCCAAUUCUUCCAAGGAAGACUACAACCACAUUAGGUCUUUGCUAGCCUCUGCCAUUGCAACAUACUCUGCCUUAAUAGUAGAAAGUGCAACUAUCUUCUACAACUUUGAUACCCAACUGACUGUAGUACCACCUAGAGUAUAAUCAUAUCCUAUAGUACUUUUUCUGCUAUCUAUAUCACCAGCCAUAUCAAUAUCUACAUACCCCUACAAACCUAAAUCUAACUUCCUAAAACACAAAGUCGACUCUAUAGUGCCUCUCAAAUACCUGAGAAUCCACUUCACCCCUUUCUAGUGUUAUUUUCCCGAAUUACUCAUAUAUAUACUCACAACUCCCACUGCAUGUGCUAUAUCCAAUCCAGUACAAACCAUAGCAUACAUAAGACCACUAAUACAUAAGACACUUUUGCCAUGUAAACCCGUUCUUGUUCAAUUGAGGGCGGCUGAUCUUUAAAUAGUCGGAAGUGACUAGCUAAAGGGGUACUCACAAGCUUCACUCCAACUAUAUUGAAUAUGCUAAGGAUCAAACCUUCUUCACAUACUCUUCCUGUGAUAGUUUCAAGACCUCUUUAUCCCUAGUAAUCCUCAUUCUAAGGAUUUAUUUUGCAGCACAUAAAUCCUUCGUUGCAAACUCAUCCUAUAACUUCUUUUUUGUUUGUCAAUCUCAUGUAUGCUAGCCCCAAAAUCCACAUAUCAUCAACAUAUAACAAUAAAAUAGUAUGAGAGCCAUGAAACCUCUUGAUAUGGCAACAAUGAUCUACUUGACACCUCAAAAAACCAUUAUUGCUCAUGAAGUUGUUGAACUUCUUAUACCAUUGUCUUGGAGCCUUUUUCAAGUCAUAUAGGCUCUUUUGUAGCUUACACGCCAUUUUAUUUUUUCCCUAAACCUGAAACCCUUAUAGCUUAUGCAUGUAAAUUUCUUAUUCUAAAUCACCAUGAAGAAAUGUCAUUUUUACAUCCAUCUACUAUAAGUGCAGAUCUUUUUUUAUCAUUAACCCAAGUACUGUUCUGAUAAUGGUUAGUUUGACCAUUAGAGAGAAAAUCUCUGUAUAAUCAAUGCCUUCCUUUUGCUGAAAGUCUUUUACUACAAGUCUUGCUUUGUAUCUCUUGCUACCAUCAUGUUCUUCCUUUAUUCGAUAUACCCAUUUAUUUUGCAAAUCUUUUUUCCCUUUUAGUAGUUCUGCCAAUAGCCAUGUUUGAUUAGACAUCAACGAAUCCAUGAAGUUGGCUACUCUAAACCAAAUCACAUGUGUAAAAUCCCUAAAAUUCCACAACUUAAAAUACUCUUACUAUUAGGAUAAUGAUUAGGCUCCACACAUCUUAACAUAUAGUCCAAUUCAUCCAAACUCUUUUGGUAAAAAUAAAUAUUUUUUGCUUUUCAUUGAUGAUUUUAGUAGAAAAGGUUGAGUGUAUUUUUUGAAGGAAAAAUCUAAAGUAUUUAGUGCUUUUAAGAAAUUUAAAGCAUUUGUUAAAGAGGAAAGUAACCACAAUAUAUAAGAAAUGAGAUUCAAUAGAAGACGUGAAUUCACAUCAAAAGAAUUUGAAAAAUAUUAUGAAAAUUAUGGGAUUCAUUCGCCUUUAACAACUCCAUAUUCUCCACACAAAAAUGGUGUAGUUAAAAGAAAAAAUAGAGUUAUUCUUGACAUGACUCAAACAUGUUGAAAAGUAAGAAGAUGGCUAAAGAAUUUUGGGCCGAAGCAGUUGAUUGUUGAUUUAUUUGUAAAAUCACUCUCCUAAUUGAAGUGUAUUGAAUAAAACAUCACAAGAAUCUUAGAAUGGAAUAAAGCCAUGUAUUUUCACAUUUGAGAGUAUUUGGAAGCAUUAUAUAUACUCAUAUGCCAAAUCAAAAGUAAUCAAAGUUAGAUGACAAAAGUGGAAUAUAUAUUUUCAUCAAUCAUGACUCAAGCUCCAAAUGGUACAAUUAUAGAAUCCAAAAAAUGGAAAAGCUCAUUAUUAAUAUAGGUGUCAAGUUUAAUGAAGAAACAUGAGAUUGGAAUGUUGAAAGGUAACUAUGAUACUUCUCCCCUUUAUGAAGAAGGAGAACAAACAAGAGAAAGUUUGCAAGAGAUUGUUACUCCACUUUCAUCACUACCCCCAUCAACUUAUGAAGUUCCCACAACAUCAUCCUCUUUUGAAAGCUCAAGUGAAAAGGACACCCUGUCUUAGAAGUCUACAAGAGAUCUAUGAAGUAACAGAAAAUCAAAAUGAUCUAACCCUCUUUUUUUUUUUUGCACAUUAUGAACAAAUAAGUUUUGAAGAAGCAAUUCAAGACCAAAGAUGAAAAUAUACCAUGGAAGAGGAAAUAAAAGUAAUAAGGAAGAAUGACAUAUGGAAAUUCAAAUCCCUUGUAAAAGAGAAAAACGCAGUUGAAGUAAAAUGAGUGUUAAAGAAGAAUGAAAAAGGGGAGGUAGAGGGAUACAAAACAAGAUUGGUGGCUAAGGGUUACAAGCAACAACAAAGCAUCCACUAUGUGAAUAACAAAUUGCAAUUGAUUUAUAAAAAAAUCUAGUUUUCCAUGAUCAAACCAAGCACAUCGAUUUAAUAUAUCAUUUUAUUAGAUAGUGCAUUGUGAAUAAGGAAAUGCAAUUAAAUUUUUGCAAAAUCUCAAGAUCAAAUUGUGGAUAUUUUUAUCAAGCCUCUUAAGUUUGAAAAUUUUAGAAAGUUGAGGAUGCUACUUGGAGUCACAAGUCAAGUUUAAGGGAGCAUGUUGGAAAAUUAAACUUGAUUUAGAAACUUUCUAAUUAUUAGAAUUAGAUUUAGUCUCUAAAAAUCAAGGGAGAAUAUUUUAUUUUGAGUUAUUAUUUUAGUUUCUAUUUUUGAAUUAUCAAACUCCGAAUGCUUCUAUAUUUUAUUGUUAGGAGUUUCUAUAUAAUUAAUUGAGUAUGUAUAAAUAAAAGAUUAUGUGAUAACUAAAAAAAAAAAGGAGAGUGGUGGAAUAUAAUAAAUAUUUAAUUCUUCCCAAUUUUAUAUUCUUUGUAAUUGUUUGUGUUUCUCCAUCAACCCUAUUACUCCAAUAUCUUUUACUUCCACUUCUCCAACACUUUUAUAUGAUGAAAACUGAGUCUCUUCAACUUUGUGAAUAAAAUUGUUGACAAUGAUUUCAAAAAACUUACCACCCGUCAAGAGGUAAUUGCCCCAAUGAAGACAUACACAAACAAUUGUCACAAUUCUUAAGUAUAAGAUUUUUCAAUUGCAUUAAUGAUGACCUCGUUAUCCAACUAGGCUACUUUGUGUCAUCACAAUUCAAUUUAUUUUUUAGAGAUUUCAACUUUGGAUGUGUGGUAGAGAAGGAUGAAAAUAUAGCUUUUGGCAAAUAUAUCGGUAACUUAAUUUUAUGGAUAUAUUAGGAUAUAUCGAUAAAUAUUUAAAUACAAAAUAUCAGUGAAAUGAAAAUUAAUCAAAACUUAUAAAAUUAUCUAAAAAAAGAUUGAAACAAAUGAUAAAAUAAGUAAUAAUAUAUAUAUUGAAAUUACUUUAAUUAGAGAAAUUUGAUAUAUAUAUAUAUAUAUAUAAUAAAUUUGUAACAUUAGUCAAUAACAUGCUAAUUUAAAAACAUAUUAAUAUUAAAAUGAUAAUGUGUUUAAUUUGAACAUAUUGUAGGAUAAAAAAGAAAUAAUGAUAUUUAUAUAAGUAUUUUUAAUUUAAAAAUAUUAAUAUUUUAUUUAUAAAUUUAUAUUUGUUUUAUAUUUAAUUAAUUUACAAAAUAUAUAAUAAGAUAAUUAAAUUUUAAUUAUUUAUAAUAAAUUUUUUUAACUAAUUUAUAAUAUAUAUUUAUAAUUUAUAAAAAAUGUUAUAAUAUAUAAAAGAUAUGAUGUUAUGGAUAUAUAUAUAUAUAUAUAUAUAUAUAUAUAUAUAUAUAUAUAUAUAUAUAUAUAACACUAUGUGCACAUCUAACACAAAUCUACAGAUGAUUCAAUAGGGUAGGCAACCCACGGCAAAUUCAAGCACUCGGGUUUGGGCCUUGCUCUUUUGUGUCCUAUGUUCAUUUAAAGUGUACAUAAAGGCAAUCCCACAUCUUAGUUUGAGAGAAAGCAAAGCCUUAUUUCAUGAUGGUGCCUCCAUCGAUCCACUAUCAAAGUUAGCAAAGUGGGCUUGGGCGUGGGCUUUUCUAGCUGACUGGAUUAAGAUUGACUCUUGAUCCACCAACAAAAAUAUCCAGAGCUUCAGCCACACCCUUUCUACCCUUCAAAUCAAACUUCGGAGGUGUAUCUUAUUCUACAUUUCUACCUUCUCUCUCUUUUUCUUCUUUUUCUAAUUUUUCCUUUCCUCUCUCUUAUUUUAUUCACUUAAAAUUUAAGAACUAAACCCUUAAUUUUGGAACUCAUACAAUUGGUUAUUGAUAAUAUUUUUAGUGAAAUAUAUUUUUUUAAUUCUUAUUUUUAACUACAAAUUUAAUUCUUUAAUAAAAAAAAAUUAUUUUGUCAAAUAACUAAUAUAAAAAAAUAAAUUUUAAUAAAUACACUAUGUACAUAAAUGAUGUGGGAUGUGUCAUACUCCAACAUAUGCAUGAGCCUAAUAGUCAAACAUUGCUAUGAUACUGUAUAGGUAAUAUCAAGGUCUGAAGAGGAGUCCUGCCAACAAUCAUCCCACCCCAAAUAUGCUGCGGGUUUCUUUCUUCAACAAAAAGGAAGUGAAGCCCAACUUUUUUAAUCAAUGGAAUAAGAAAGAGACGACCUCUCAAAUCAUCGGUAAGGGAAGAAUUUUGUUUUAUCAAAACAUUCUAAGCAGAAUCAAGUAGAAAAUCCAGAUCUUCUAUCUUUCCUGUAGGCAUGAAAAUAAAACUGGAAUGAGACCUUUCUUCUGAUUCUGUUCAGAUGCAGUUUUUAAAUGCACCCGAAGGGGCUUUUAGGCGUGUAAUCAUAAUUUAAGUUAGAAUUUUUUAAGCUUAUGAAUUGCAAUAUAUAUUGAGUAUAUUGCUUACGCAUUUUUUUUUGUUGAAUUGAGGGCAAGGGAGAAUUUAAAAUGAAUUUAGUGCUCAAUUCUCAUUCAAUAAUUUGUACGUGCUAUUAGGUGUAGUACCAAAUCUAGAUGAGUUAUUACUUCAUACACCACCCAUGCUUUCCCCCACACACAAACUACUCACUCUUUUAAGUUGUAUAAAUUUUAAUUUAUUUUGGCUACACAUACACACCCCAAAAAAAAAAAAGCAGAACCCUCUUGGUCUCCCCAAUUUGUAUAAUUGAUUUUUUUUUUAAUUUGAUGAGUAUUCAUCCUGCUUUUGGGAUUGGCUAUCUAGAUACAUUCAAGGUCGUGGAAAGAGCAGUAAACCCCCUACUAAGAAUCAUUAACUUUGUUGAUAGGAAUCAUUAAAUCCAUUAUAUAUAUAAAGACAACCAAAUAAUGAUAUUUGAUUAUUUCUUCAACCUUACAACAUGAUGUUUCUUAUGAAUUCUUUUUAUCAUUCAUAGAGAUUUAUCAUAUAUAAACAGAAAACAUCUCUUAUCUCAUUCACUUCUCGAUAGAUUCUAAAACAAAUUGUUGCCUUGUGAUGUAUAUGUUGUUGAUAAGAAACCCCCCUUAUCUCUCUCUCUCAUCUUCAUUCAAAUUAAGCAAAGACACCACCUGCUGUUCUGAAAAUGCCACCACCUGCGGUGACAUUGGAGGCAUUCAAUUCCAAGUUCAAGUCCAAGUCCAAGUUUAAUGAAUCAUAUUCUAUGUUUGCUAAACAUUUGAUAUAUUCUCUACUUUCAUUUAUUUAUUUAUUGAUAUCUAGAUUAUACUCACACGAUGCCUCCAAAAAUGGUAGUUUGUAUUGUAGUUGAGUCUUUAUCAAUCCUAGAGAAGAUGCACUUAAGAGGGUAUUUGGGCAGAAAGGCUCUCCACUCGCAUGCAUAGGAGCCUUUUGCAGUUCUAUUAGGUCAAUUAUAAAAUCUAGGCCAAAAUAGGUCUGGAGCUAAAAAUCAAAUGGUGAGUUGUGAAGGAAUUCUUUGGCAAGCCUGUGCAUAACACAUUCCAUGUGUUAGAAGUAGGUUGGCUAAUAUAAAUUACAACAAAAUUUUUUGGCAUGCCCAAUGAGACCUCUAAGUCUACUCAUGCUUUGAGACCCCAAACAAAGAAUAAUGGGUUGCAAGAAAAUAAAGAUGAUCGAUGCAAAAAUCAACACCUUCAUAUGGAUCUCUACUGCAAUGAGAUCCAUGAUGUGAAAUUAUCGUGAUGAGAACCUUAGAAAUAAUGCGUUGGAAUUUUAUUUUAUUUUUCUCCUUUGCACAAGUCUUUCUUAAGAAGUCACUUAGAAGCAACAAAACAAAAAGGAUUGUUAGUUGAUCAUAGCACGUAGAAUAGAUUCUAUUAUAUAAUUGAAGUUGUAUACUAAUUUCUAUUGAACGAAAUCUUUGAAUUCUGUGGUGAAUAUUUGAUGGUUAAAUGAAUAGAAAAUGUACCUACAUAACUUCUUGAAAAUUUUUUUGGUGAAACUAUGAAAAUAUGUUCAUAGAAACAUUGUUUUAAAAUAGAUGAUUAGUUAUCAAAUUUUUGAAAUAUAAGGAUUCAGAUAUGAUGGAAUAUGAAUUCCUUGUUGUGAUAUGUUACUUAUUCUUGUGGCAACAUGAAUUAAAGUUGUUUCUAACUCUAAAUUGCAAUAUGAGCAAUAUGGAAGUUGAAAGGGCCCUCACAACUUGAAAAUAUGUAAGGUUAAGAGGAACUCAUGCAUAUAUAUCACCAGGAACUUUAUCUCCUAUCGCAUGCGAGAUAUCACAAUCACUCCUCAAUGCAAACACAAACAUCCUCGUUGUGUCCCGCAAUCCUUGGGAUUGUGGGGCCAAAUAGACAAACGUCCUUCACCAGGUCAAACAAAUUCCCACACUAGGGUUGGAGAUUGACUUUGAUACGAUUUAUUACUACCUGUACCCAACCACCCCCACACCGAGGUUGAAGAUUGACUUUGAUACCAUUUAUAACUACUUAUACCCAAUUGUAUAGAUAUUGUUUGUUUUGAAUAUAAAGAGGUUCUCACGACUUUAAAAUGCGUCUACAAGAUUAAGAGGAGUUCAUGCAUAUAUAAUGUAAGAAACUUUUUUCCUUAUCCAAUAUGGAACAUCACAACAUUGGUAUUUAAUAUAUUAUGAAAUUGGAAGAAAGGGCACCAUGAAGGCUGGCCCUAUAAAUGGAUUAAUAAGAGGGGCAAUGAACCCUUAAAAGAAAGGGAAAGUAUCCUAGAUGAAAUAUCCAAAACAUAUUCUGAAAGAUUUCCGUUAGGAUUAUUGGGGGCAUAGACAUAUAGCAUUGGAUGGAAGUUCUUAAAAACAAAAAAUGAUAUAGGUAUCUAAUGAUGUGCUAGUAUGAAUGAAAUGUGCAACUUAGAAUGAUCAUCUUACUAGUGAUGUUUUAAUGAAUUGAAUUUCUAUGUAUUAACUGUGUAUAUUUACUAAUUAUCUCGCUUAAAUUUUAUGUUAAAAUUCUUGUCUUUCGAGUUGUUUAGUUCACUCUUUAAAUUAUUUUUUGAUUCAAUAAAAGGCACCUAGAGCUAAUAAAUUACUUGGGUUACUAAUUGGUGGAAUACUAGGCAAUCUGAAACUUUUUUGAAUGAUAUUCAAAAGAUUUGUUUAAAAUUUAUAAUGAAUAAUGAUAAGUCGUCUCUUGAAUCGCCAAAUAUUCUAGGUUCAAUUUGAAAAGUAUUCUAUUAGGGUAACUAUGUUAUGCUAGUGACGAUAUCGAUCGUGACCUUGAUAUGGAGUUAGAGCUGCUAACUAUGAUGAAUGCACUAACUAUGGAUAUGAUGUCGGAAAUAGACCGAUUUUAUAUCACCCUUGAAUUCGAAUUAGCAAAAGCAAUGUCUCCUUGCAUAAUAUGGAUUCCAAACAUUCAUGAUCUAGAUGUGAAUGAGUCGAAUUACUUAUCCCUCAAUCUAUUAGUGAACUAUCUCUCCAGGGAUUGUGAAAGAUGUUCCACUAGAAAUAUUCUUGUUAUUGCUUCGACUCAUAUUCCCCAAAAAGUGGAUCCCGCUCUAAUAGCUCCGAAUAAAUUAAAUACAUGCAUUAAGAUUUCCAAGGUUUAGCCAAGGCUUAGCUCAAGACCCCACUACUUGUCGUAUUUGGUUUGGUAUUGCUACCGCACAUGACUUUGAAAGUCAUGAUGAUAUUACUGAGGAACGUCUUUAUCAAAAUAUUUUUGCUUCUCAUUUUGGGCAAUUAGCAAUCAUUUUUCUGUGGACUUCUGAAAAUUUGUUUCAUGUAACUUGGCAAGGAAAUUUUGAAUCAUGGGUACAAGACCCUUUACAUGUAAGACCUAUUGCUCAUGCAAUUUGGGACCCUCAUUUCGGUCAAUCGGCUGUGGAAGCUUUUACUCGAGGGGGUGCUCCUGGACCAGUGAAUAUCGCUUAUUCUGGUGUUUAUCAGUGGUGGUAUACAAUCGGAUUACGCACUAAUGAAGAUCUUUAUACUGGAGCUCUUUUUCUAUUAUUUCUUUCUGCUAUAUCUUUAAUAGCGGGUUGGUUACACCUACAACCGAAAUGGAAACCGAGCGUUUCGUGGUUCAAAAAUGUCGAAUCUCGUCUCAAUCGUCAUUUGUCAGGACUCUUCGGAGUAAGUUCAUUGGCUUGGACAGGACAUUUAGUCCAUGUCGCUAUUCCUGGAUCCAGGGGGGAGUACGUUCAAUGGAAUAAUUUCUUAGAUGUAUUACCGCACCCUCAAGGGUUAGGCCCACUUUUUACAGGUCAGUGGAAUUUUUAUGCUCCAAACCUAAUUCAAGUAGUCAUUUAUUUGGUACCUCUCAAGGAGCAGGAACUGCCAUUCUAACCCUUCUCAGGGGAUUCCAUCCACAAACGCAAAGUUUAUGGCUGACUGAUAUUGCUCAUCAUUAUUUAGCUAUUGCAUUUAUUUUUCUCGUUGCUGGUCAUAUGUAUAGAACUAACUUUGGGAUUAGGCACAGUAUGAAAGAUCUUUUAGAAGCGCAUAUUCCUCCGAGAGGACGAUUGGGGCGUGGACAUAAGGGUCUUUAUGACACAAUCAAUAAUUCGAUUCAUUUUCAAUUAGGCCUUGCUCUAGCCUCUUUAGGGGUUAUUACUUCCUUGGUAGCUCAACACAUGUAUUCUUUACCGGCUUAUGUGUUCAUAAUUGGAAAAAUGAGCACCGUGGAAAUACAUGCCACUCAGCCAAAGAAAGAUGAUGGAGAGUUGCCCGAAAUGGGCACUAAAUACUUUUCGAGGGAUCUCCUCCAAAUCAUUGGUAUGGCUAUCGAAAUCGUGAGCAUCAACAUGUAGGUUCCAGAUCGGUGGUAUCAGGGCCCUUAGCUAUUGUUCUUGAGAAAUGACCAGGUCUGGCCCAUUCCUCGAAAGAAGUUUUUAUGGGAUCCAAAUCUAACAAAAUUUUAACUUUUGUUUCCGGCGAACAAAUAAUCAUUGAGUCCUCCUCUUUCCGGACAACACAUACAAAGAGACCCGCCAACAGUCAAGAAAUUAGUGAACCUAUGAGAGAUAUUUAUAAUUAGUUUCUUUCUCUUCUCUUAUAUCUCCCAUCUAUCUAUUUUCUUUAGUUAUUCACUAAAGCAAUUAUGAUUUGGAAGUCGAUUCGGGCAAGUGUUCUGAUCUAUUAUGACAUAGCUUUGAGGCGCUUACUGGACCUGUUUAAUAUUAUAAAACCUUUUUCGGUCUUUGAAUUUGAACGCAAAAACGAUUUUUUUGUGCAACCUAGUGUAUUCAUAUUUCAAUUAGAAGUUCUUAGAUAGAUCUAUAUUAUGUGAUUAGUUGGUAUUCAAAAUAGACAAUUCAAGUAGGUAAGUCGGAAAUGCCACUCGAACCCAGAGCUAGCUGGUUUUCCCUGAAAUGCGUUGAGUCCGCUUAUCUCCAACUCGUGAACUUAGCCGAUACAAAGUUAUAUGAUAGAAACUCUUCUUUGGUGUUAAGGUAAUAGCUAUGAAUAGUCAUUAGGCAAGAUUGGUUGGAUUAGCCCAUUUUUCUGUAGGUUAUAUAUUCACCUAUGCGGCUUGAAUUCUAACCUUGUGUCAAGACCUACGAGCCAAGGGACCGUCUCAGGUAGACAAUUUCUAUGGGGCGUAGGCCUCCCAAAAGGUAACGGAGGCUUGCAAAGGUUUUCUCGGGCCUGACGGAGAUUGGCCCUCGAGUGCAAAGGUAGAAGGGAGCUUGACUGCAAGACCCACCUGUCGAGCAGGGACAAAAGUUGGCCUUAGUGAUCCGACGGAAAUACUAGAUCCCCACUUACACAAGCAAAUUGUUGAUAAAACUCCAAAAUGGCACUUUCUUUUGACCCAAUCUGCUUGUGGAACCUCAAUAUCCACGGGCUUAUUAGCUAAAUGACAAUUGGCACAUACAAUACGUCCAGUCGCUUCUCGUGGAUCUUCAUAACCCUGUUGUGCAAAAAUGGGGGGAUUUCACCUGCCCCAUGCUAUUUGCCGAUUUAUUCAAUGCUGGAAUCAGGCUCGUGGGAUCGGGACCCUUUAUCCCGGCCAUUAAUUGUUAGGAAAUCUCAAAUCAGACCAUUUGUCCUUACUUCCAUAAAGGAAGCAUGGGUCUUUUUUAUAGGAAAACUUUUUUUUUUCUUGGUACCAAUUCAAUGCUAAACAAGUCCGAACUAAUUGAAUACUUGUAUAGCGACGACCCUUCCACUCGGCACCAUCAGAUCACUUAGAGAUCACAUGCAAUUGUGAAUGCAACAACACUCCCUAAUAAAAAUAAAAUGCAAUUCACAUGCACAUGUUCCAACACUCCCCUAACAAAAAAAAAAAAAAAAAAAAACUUAAAAACAGUUUCUAAUUAAUAACAAGAGCAAGAUAUCUCAAUAUCCCUAUGAUCAAUAAUCAGAAACAGCAUAAAUGACAACUUAUGCUAGUUUACCUUAACAUUCCCAAAACAUAAAUAUCCAAAUUAUUAAAGAUAGUUAAAAUUGAAACUGAAAUGAAAAGGAGAAUUAGAGACAAUGAGACAACACCAAAAUUUACUUGGAAAACCUCCUAAGAGGUCAAAAACCACGAACCUACAACCAAUAAAAAAUUCUACUAUGAUGAUCAAUCAAGGUGUACAAGGAUUUACCUAGCUCAAGAUCUCCAAUCCCUCACGCACUACUUGACAAGCGCCUUCACACCUCUCCACCAUGCCUUCAUCUUCAGGAACAUAUUUGGAGUCAUUUCCAAACUUGAUCUCGGCCUUCUCCUUGAAGCUCCAUCAAGAAGAAAUUGAGUUUUCACCCAAACCCAAAAGAAUGAGAGAUGAGUGUUCAAGGAAUCAACUCAUUUCAUUUUAGAAAUCCAUUUAAGAAAAUUUUCUUAAAAAACUUAGAUGAAAUUUUCUUGGAAAGCAAACAACCUCAAAAGGAAAAGGAAAGGAAAAACUCUCUUACGACUAUUGCUCUCUUAGUUUCCAAAAAUGGGAGAAAUUUGUAUUUAAAAGGGGAAAGAAUGGUUGAAAACUGAUCUAAAAAAGAAGUUAUUUUGAUCGAUUUGCCCCUGCACUUGGAUCUAUCCAGAAACAAGGGAACAAAAACCUUUUAGCAAAAAAUAUUUCUCCCAGCUUCCCUAAUACUUUUAAAAAUAAUUCAAGGCUACCAACAUGUUGAAAAACAAGGUUGAUUCACAUUCCUUCAACACUAACUCAACUACUUAUCUCGGCCUCUUAGCAAAUUCAAAAUCUUAAUCUUCAUAGGUCAAGUAACCCAACAACGGAUUUAAAAAACCAUAGUUAGUAGACACUUAGGUAUUUUGUCUAGAAUUACCAACCUAACUAUAACACUCACAACUUUUAAAAAUUUUAAAAAUCAUUUAUAGUAUUGAAAAAUCACUUGUGCUUUAUAGAAAAAUAUUUGAUAGGUGAUUCGCCUAAAAACACUUUCAGAAGCACUUUGAGUAAAAACACUAUCAUACGCACCCUUAAUUUCAUGGAUAAUUAAAAACGAAGCAUAAGCAGUAUAAUCCAAUAAGAGAAAUAUUUAAAUAAAAUUAAUCAACUCGAAAGUGUAUUGUUCCAAUUUAAUAAAGAACUGUAAAUUUAUUAGCGGUGGCCAUAAUUCCCAUGAUGCAAGAAAACUGAAAACUAAUUAUAACUUAUAGCCUAACAAUUUUUUAAACCUAUCUUCGUAUCAUUCAUUGAAAAUGCCUAUUUUAAAUACUAUUUUUCUGUUUUAGAAACUGCAAACAUGUAAUAACUAAAACAAAUAAAACGAACAUGAUCGUGUUUUCAUAUAAAAAAUAAAAAAUUAUUAAAAUAUUCUUAAAUAAAAUUCACAAUAUUUAUUUUGGCAAGGCCUUAUUAGAUCUUAUUUUUAUUAAUUUCUAGAACCCUAUCCGUAAACUUGUCACAGAUAAACCCAUUUCACCCUUUUCCAAACAACUCUGAACAAAUUAAUGUAAUUGUGCCCAAUCCAAUAUUCAAACAUAUAUAUACAUAAUAGUUUGUUUCAUAAUCAAAACCUGAUAACAGGCAAUGAGUUCAUUACAAAGAAACUAUGGAGUAGUACAAGGAAAAAUAUCUGUAUAUAAUUAAUCAGCUUUGGACCACUUGCCAGAGUUUGGAUAUCCUGGUACACAUGCAUCGUUAUUUCACAUGGAUACAACACGCAACCUACGGGAAUCAUAGUAGAAUUCUUCAUCUCCAGCUAGCACUGCAUCAAUUAUCAAAACCAUGCAUUUAGGGAUCAUAUCCCAUUGUAGUUAUGGAAGCAAGAACAUUAAUAAUUAAUUGUUUUAAAAAAAAUCAUAAAAGUAAACAGAAUAUUGUAUGUUCUGUGUACUAUUUAAGAAGCAAUUCAAUUACCUCUCUGGAUGUGAGAUAUUUUGGACCAAUCCUCCCCUGUUUCCUCAUGGUAACGAUCUUGCAGAGUAGGAGAGCCGCUGAUAUUCAGUUCCUGUAGUGAAGCUAUCUGGAGAAGGCGCUCGGGCAGGCUUUCCAGCCUGGGGCAGUUAUAUGUGGUCAAGGAGUGGAGAUAUGGCAUUACUGACCUCCGUUCUUCUACUUCUCCUUUUACUUCCCACUUUUCCCACUCAAACAUAUGUUUAAAACUGAGGUGCUUCAGCUUUGGGAAUGCAGUUGUUGAUCCCAAAAACUCACCACCCACGUAUUUCAGUCUCUUCAUAUGCUCUAUUAUCAGGCUUUCAAGGAGAGGUAGUUCCCCCAAUGGAGGCAAACAUGUAACCUGUGCGCAAUACACAAUUUCAAGCUUUUUCAAUUGGGCCAACGAUGAGGCCGCUAUCCAACUGGGGAACUCGGUGGCAGCACGGUAAUAACUUAUUUUUAAAGACUUCAAGUUUUGAUGAGGCUGUAGAGCUUCAACCACACCUUUUGAAGCAGCUGAGGCAAGCCACCCAAAACGGCUUAGUUCCAAAUGAUGGAGGUGUUUCUUAUUCUUCAAUUCUGCUUCGCCAGCCUCCUCUGCAUCUUUCACAUUAGCUAUCCCACUUAUCACAAGACCUCCCCUGAGGCUGUUUGAGUUUUUCAGUUCUCCUAUUUUGCAUACGCCAAUUAUACGAAACCCAGUUAAUGUCCGAAGUGAGGUCAAUCUCCCGAUUCCUUUUGGCAACUCCGAUACUUCACUGCCGUACAAUUCAAGAUGUCUCAGGUUAAUUAGUUUUCGCAUCCCCUGAGGUAGUUUUUCAAGGAGGCUACAUCCAAAAACAUCUAAAGUUUGCAAAUUAUAUAGAUCACAAAUUGUUUCGGGCAAUUCCGUCAACCACUUAUUAUUUGAUAGAUUAAGGUACCUCAGAUGUAUCGAUUUCCCCAAGUUCCUCAGCAGUUCCCCCAAAAAAACACUCCCACUCAAGUCUAAUGCCCUAAGGCAUACCAAAUGUUUGAAUAAAUUAGGUGGGGGUUGAGGAGUGAAGGAAUUGACCAGAUGUGCAGCAAGCAAUGUGUGCAGAUAUUUCAAAUUAUGGAUAGUGCUAGGAAAUCCAACCCUUCCUGCGCUAAUUAAGGUUGCAUGACGAGCCUUUUGGAAGGAGGAAGCCAUCCUCACUUCCUUUUCAUCAUCAAUCUCCAGAAUGAAGCAUUCAUUCUUGGUCAAAUAUUGGGCAAGAUCAUGUACUGUAUCAUGCAUCUUGCACGAUAUUAUGUUGCCCUCAUCAUCUCUACGAAAAUCUUGGAAAAGUGACCGUGACACCAAGUCUUCAAAGUAGUCUCCACCUGUUUUCUCCAUCUCUAUACUUUCUCUAGAAUUGAGAUAGCUAUUUGCCAUCCACAACUUGAUCAAUCUAUCUUUACUAAUGAUUUGAUCUUUUGGGAAGACAGCACAAUAUGAGAAGCAGCGUUUAACAGCAGGGUAUAAAUCAUAAUAACUCAACAAUAAAGGAGGGGAAAGAUGUUUCUCAAUCACAUCAAGUUGCCAUAUUUCAUUAUUCAAAAUACUCUCCCAAUCUUCUUUAUUAUCUUUUAAGCGCAUGAGACUCCCUAAAACCUUUGCAGCAAGAGGCAAGCCCCUACACUCGUCUGCUAUUUUCCUGCCAAUGUUUUCUAGUUCUUCAACUUUUUCUCUACUCCUUCCGUAAAAGGCUAUGUUACUGAACAAUGACCGACAUUGCUCCUUGGACAAUUCUCCCAAGGGGACCUUGUACGUGGUUCCCAUCAUUGUAGAAACGUUUUCGUUUCGUGUGGUCACCAAAAUUCUACUUCCCGGUGCCCCACCCUUGAGAGAACUCUCUACUUGUUCCCACAAUUCAUAGUUUUCAGUCCAAACAUCAUCUAGCACGAGUAGGAACUUCUUAUCGGCAAUAAGUGUGCAAAUUUUUUGUUGUACAGCUUCCAGAUCAUGGAAACCAGAAGACUCUUUCUGGAGGGCUUCAAGAAUAGCCCUAGAAAUCCUCAUUGGGUCAAAAGGAUCAGACACACAGACCCACAUCCUUUCAUGGAAAUAGGACUUCACCUUUUCGUGGUUGUAUGCUAAUUGAGCAAGAGUUGUUUUGCCGAUCCCUCCCAUCCCAACUAUGGAGACGAUGUAGAGGGAGGAGCUUUCUUGGCAACUCCCACCCAACAGCUUGCCUAUUAUAAUGUUUAUAUCUGCAUCCCGACCGCAGAACUGGCUAAC